UCACGCUACUCACCGACACAAAAAUGAAGGUUAGUAGAAAAACAAAUAACUAAUAGAGCACUUAAUUAAACAAAUACAUUUAUUAAUAAUAAAACCAUUUACCAUCCACUUACCACAUCGAGAGUUAUAAAAACAACCUAUACAGAUAAUAGCAUAGCACUCAUCAUGAUUCCAUAUGCAAUUGGUAACAGGCACACAUUAUAAAUUCAUAUUCAAUAAAUCAAAUAACAACCUUCCCUUUUAUUGGCGUAUUGGUAUCCAUGGGGGUUCAUAGGGAUGUCCCCACUAUGCGUGAAUCCUUUCCUUCAACAUUCUCAAUUAAAGGGCCGUCCUCAUACCCCGUCCGGUAUGAGACAACGUUCAUGGUAAGGUUCUUUAUUGUACCUGCUCCGUCCACCAUCUUCCAAAAUAUCUAGUAAGGUUGUUGUUUUAUCCAUUUACUUAAUCACACAAUUUUUUGUUUUUCUUUAGUCUCCGUUUUUUAAUUCAACCGCAAUCACAUAAACAAACAAACAUGCAUCAGGGAAUGUAUUCAUAUCUCAGUUUCUCAAUUUAAUAGUAGUCACGUAAGACAGCAAUACAUGCAUUCAAACCAUAAAAUCGAUAAAUCAUAUAUUAUUAUACAUCCAAACUGUAAAAUAAAUCGACAGAAAAUAAUUUUCAGUUUUGCCUCCAUUAAUAACCUGAAAGGCUAAACUGUUGAAUGCGUCUACUGACGGCCUCUGGGUUCUAUAAAUUUUUCUUAGGUAAAACGCGCUGUAAGUACCUACAAAUAUCCUAAAAAACCCAAAAUUAGUCUUAGAACCCAAUUUUUGUCAAUUUCAGGAUUUUUGUAUGGCGGCUCUACUGUGCUCUGGUGACGGCGCCUCCACAGGCGGCAGCAGUCUGCAUUGGGUCGGCUAUUUUUGGCCAUUUUCGGCCAAAUUCGGCUUAUUUUGCAUCAACCUCUGCGAAAAAACACGUUAAGGGUUCUCGGUUGGUCGAAAAAAUAUAAAAAACUGAAACUCAUACGCGGUGAGACUAUCACGUGCAGUGGCUCAUCCGGUCCACAUUGCAGUUGAGUGUUUUGCUCUGGUCAACUUGUAGAGAAGGAAACGGUGAUCACAAUGGUGGAAAAUUUACGUCGAACGGGAAUCGAGAAGGUCUUCAUCGGAGGUGUUUUGUGAAAUUUCCCACUGCGGCACUGCUAGACUUUACCUGCGAUUUUCGGCCAACCAACCCGUCUUUUUAUUCCGAUUUAGCCAUGAGGGUACUUAAAAUUGAAUUCCGAGCAAAAAAAAAAUUUACAUUUUUUGGCGNNNNNNNNNNNNNNNNNNNNNNNNNNNNNNNNNNNNNNNNNNNNNNNNNNNNNNNNNNNNNNNNNNNNNNNNNNNNNNNNNNNNNNNNNNNNNNNNNNNNNNNNNNNNNNNNNNNNNNNNNNNNNNNNNNNNNNNNNNNNNNNNNNNNNNNNNNNNNNNNNNNNNNNNNNNNNNNNNNNNNNNNNNNNNNNNNNNNNNNNNNNNNNNNNNNNNNNNNNNNNNNNNNNNNNNNNNNNNNNNNNNNNNNNNNNNNNNNNNNNNNNNNNNNNNNNNNNNNNNNNNNNNNNNNNNNNNNNNNNNNNNNNNNNNNNNNNNNNNNNNNNNNNNNNNNNNNNNNNNNNNNNNNNNNNNNNNNNNNNNNNNNNNNNNNNNNNNNNNNNNNNNNNNNNNNNNNNNNNNNNNNNNNNNNNNNNNNNNNNNNNNNNNNNNNNNNNNNNNNNNNNNNNNNNNNNNNNNNNNNNNNNNNNNNNNNNNNNNNNNNNNNNNNNNNNNNNNNNNNNNNNNNNNNNNNNNNNNNNNNNNNNNNNNNNNNNNNNNNNNNNNNNNNNNNNNNNNNNNNNNNNNNNNNNNNNNNNNNNNNNNNNNNNNNNNNNNNNNNNNNNNNNNNNNNNNNNNNNNNNNNNNNNNNNNNNNNNNNNNNNNNNNNNNNNNNNNNNNNNNNNNNNNNNNNNNNNNNNNNNNNNNNNNNNNNNNNNNNNNNNNNNNNNNNNNNNNNNNNNNNNNNNNNNNNNNNNNNNNNNNNNNNNNNNNNNNNNNNNNNNNNNNNNNNNNNNNNNNNNNNNNNNNNNNNNNNNNNNNNNNNNNNNNNNNNNNNNNNNNNNNNNNNNNNNNNNNNNNNNNNNNNNNNNNNNNNNNNNNNNNNNNNNNNNNNNNNNNNNNNNNNNNNNNNNNNNNNNNNNNNNNNNNNNNNNNNNNNNNNNNNNNNNNNNNNNNNNNNNNNNNNNNNNNNNNNNNNNNNNNNNNNNNNNNNNNNNNNNNNNNNNNNNNNNNNNNNNNNNNNNNNNNNNNNNNNNNNNNNNNNNNNNNNNNNNNNNNNNNNNNNNNNNNNNNNNNNNNNNNNNNNNNNNNNNNNNNNNNNNNNNNNNNNNNNNNNNNNNNNNNNNNNNNNNNNNNNNNNNNNNNNNNNNNNNNNNNNNNNNNNNNNNNNNNNNNNNNNNNNNNNNNNNNNNNNNNNNNNNNNNNNNNNNNNNNNNNNNNNNNNNNNNNNNNNNNNNNNNNNNNNNNNNNNNNNNNNNNNNNNNNNNNNNNNNNNNNNNNNNNNNNNNNNNNNNNNNNNNNNNNNNNNNNNNNNNNNNNNNNNNNNNNNNNNNNNNNNNNNNNNNNNNNNNNNNNNNNNNNNNNNNNNNNNNNNNNNNNNNNNNNNNNNNNNNNNNNNNNNNNNNNNNNNNUACAAUAAAUAUUAUAUCGAUUAUACAAAACAAUUUACCGAAAUCUUAGAAAGGAUACUCCCAAGUCUCAUUUGACCUUGAAAUUGCCCUUGGUUUUCUUAUCCUAUAAAUGAUAAAAGGGAGUGAACCACUACAUAUUCAGUAAGAACAAUUUAAGACUCAAAUCCAAAAACCGGAGAUAAUAUAUUGAUUCGACUCAUUAUCUUCACUCCACACUUACCAAACCCUCCACAUCCAUCUAAUUUCUACACUCGAACUACAAUUAUGUCAAGUAACUAGUCACAUGUUUUCACUUCUAAUAUGCCUUACUUCAUUCAAAAGAUGUCCAUAAGUGGAUGGCUUGCAAUUUCUUUUGAUUCAUUUUCAAAUCUCAUAAACACAAUAUCAUAAUUACAUUAAUUACACGUGUCCAUACCUAGAAUAUCCUUUCUUAAACCUAUAUUCACAUACAAAAUACCCUUCUUUAAAUACAUAGUCACAUAUAGUAUACGCUUCUUUAAACAUAUAUUCAUAUAACAGUAAACUUUCAUCAUUCGCCAAACACAACCAAUACACUUGCGUAAAUCUGUAUUGUUUUAUAUGAUAGCAUUUAGUCACAAUGACCGGAGAAAAUGAUAACUCACUAUCAACAUGGACCAUGUCAUAGUUACAAAUUCACAUGUCAUAAAUAUGAUUCACAUCGUCUCCCAUGUACAAAAGUCAUGAUCACAGCCAUAAUUGCCCUUUAUAUAAUCCUCCAAGGACACAAGUCAUGAUCACAACCAUAAUUACAAUUCACAUCAUCCCCCAAAGACACAAGUCAUAGUUACAAAGCAAUAAAAUGGUCCAUGAGAUAGAGUUUGUAAUUAUUUUAUACCAAUCUUGAGAUGCACAUUUACUCACAUUACUCUGAUAAGAAAUCCUUACUAUUUACCUUAUGUAUUCCCUAACACGGUUUUUAUUAUAGAUUAUAAUUUUAAACCUUUUACAUAACUAUUUUUCAUUUAAUUUUUGUGGGUAUCCUAUUUCUUUAUUUCCAAAUAUCUAAUUUAUUCAUUCACAAAUCAUCAAACUCAUCAACUCCCAAGAUAAUUUAAUUUGUCAAAAACAGACCUAAAAAUUUUGAUCACAUAAUUACACCCAAUUAUUCACUUCAUGAAAUCAUUCAUUCACUCCCUAAUUUAUACUCGCCCAACACUUUGAUAUUUCCUCAUGAUAAUAUUUGCUAUUAAUCUUAAAUUAUUCAUACCCAUUCUAUCACUACAUAAAUAUUUCAUUCUUGUUUCUUAAUCACUAAUUCUUAAUGCACUUUAAUUAUUUUAUAUUUUUAAUGUCAUAACUUUUGUUACUAUAAUUGUUACCAUAUAGAUAUAUUUACCUUUUCAUGAAUUUAAUAAACAUUUUCUUAAAUUAACUUAACUAAUUCUCAAGACUUUUGAUCCCUGAUAAUUAGUUUUGUUUACACAGCCCAUUAUUAUUUAUUCACUAAGAUGGGUAGGUGAUCUGUACGGAUGUCCUUUGGACCUAAAUAAUUAUUAGCUUUAAUCUACUUUAUCUGAUUCUAGGCUAGAAGUCCAAUAAACUAUUCCUCCCUUCCAAUAGAACCAGAAGCCCAUUUGGUCAAAUUUUCAAUUCUUCUAUUUUAUUUAUGUUUUAAUUUAUUUUAAUUUAUACAUCAUCUCUAUUUAUUUUUUUAAUUGGCCCAAACAUUCCUUUCUAACCCUUUUAAAAGGCUCAAUCAGUGUUUAAGUAUCCCUUACAGCCCUUCUUGUGGGCUCGACCCACAGAUAUACUUGUAAUAUGUAUAUAGUUUCAAUUUUUGAUACCCAUUUCAAGUGGAUCGGAGGCCCAAUAAAUCUAAGCACAUUUAAGGUACUAUUUACAAGUCUUUUUUUUUUUUUUUUUAAUUUUCAUUCCGCUUUAUUUACUUAUUAUAAUAUUUAUUUUAUUUUAAUUUAUUAUUAGUAUUUUUUACAAAUAACCCAAGUAUUUUAUUGUAUUUAUUUUUUUAUGUGGACCCAAAGCCCGACUCUCUAGACCAUAUAUGUUUUCUAUAUAUAUANNNNNNNNNNNNNNNNNNNNNNNNNNNNNNNNNNNNNNNNNNNNNNNNNNNNNNNNNNNNNNNNNNNNNNNNNNNNNNNNNNNNNNNNNNNNNNNNNNNNNNNNNNNNNNNNNNNNNNNNNNNNNNNNNNNNNNNNNNNNNNNNNNNNNNNNNNNNNNNNNNNNNNNNNNNNNNNNNNNNNNNNNNNNNNNNNNNNNNNNNNNNNNNNNNNNNNNNNNNNNNNNNNNNNNNNNNNNNNNNNNNNNNNNNNNNNNNNNNNNNNNNNNNNNNNNNNNNAAAACUACUUUGUCUUAAGAGUUCUUUUAAACAUCAUCGUUGUGAACUUCUCUAUCUCUAGCGUCCGUUCCCAAAAUGACAACAUUUUGAAGUAAAUAGGCUAGUUUUAAAAAAUUAUAGAAUGGUCCUAAAUCCUGUAAUUUUACCCAUUUGGGUCCCUGUUUACUUCUGAAAAUACCCUUAAUAGAUAAAUAAGCUCUCUAAAAUAUGAAUUCGCAUUCAAAUUCUAAUUUAUGCAAAUUGGGUCGUUACAACUAUGUCCCUUAAUAAAAGUUUUGUCCUCCAAAUUUGCAGUGAUGAGGUGAUUCAUAAAUAUACUUAUCUGUUUCUAAGUUUCCUCUUUAACCUAAUGGUUUGGUUACAAUAUUAUCACUGAUGAGAUCUCUUUUGUUCGUAAUAAUUUCUUUUUAAUUUUCUGUAAGUAAGGUGCAAUUGUUAGGAAUACGUCUCUCAAUUCCAGAUAUUUUACUACUUAGCAUUUGUUGGCAUCUCACUUUAGGUUUUUGAAAAAAACAUUUGAGCUAACAAAAGGAUUAUCAUCUUGGACUAUGUCGAUUAUUAAAAUCCAUUAAAACCCAAUGUCUCCCAAUUGCAUUGUAUGCAAUUGUCAUUGCUAUCUCAUAUGAUUUGAGAACAUCAUUUCUAGUUUAUCCAUUGUUCUAAGAAUCUCUCAACAACAUAAAUCACAUCCUAAUUUUAUCUCAAUGACUUGACAUUUUUACAACCCCCCAAAUUUCAUAUAUCUCAUUUAAAAUAUUAUUUUUCUACUUCUGAAAAUUAAUAUGUGAUUAUUUGGAAUAUACCUUCUAGGGUCUUUAAUAAAAUCUUUAAUUAUCAUCUAGGAGUAUUUUUUCCUCAAAAUGGAUCAAAGCCUAAUGUAUCCCCAUUACAUUGUGUGUGAUUGUUAUUUCUAUUUGACAUGGAUUAAGAACAUUAGUUCUAGUUUAAUCACCACCCUAAGAAUUUCUCACGAAUCCUAUAUAGCAUAUCAUAAAUUCAUCUCAAGAAUAAAUUCUUAACUACCUAAGUAACCUCAAUGCUAUGAUACGUUUCCAAUCUUUGAAUAACAUAUGUCAAACCCUCUAUUCUCAAACUAGCGUGGCAAUUCAAUUAUCUAUGCAGCCUCGGUAUCAUGAUAGAUUUAGAGUCUCCCAAAAUUCAUGUGCUCAAAGUUUUUUUGUUUACUUCCUAACUUUCUAAAAUUUGUACAUGAUUAAGUGGAAUAUGUUCUCUCUGUACUAUCUAAAUACACCAACAAACACAUUGUCCUUAAAGGAUUAAAAUUCUAAACUAUGUGUGGUUUAUUUGUAAUUAAAUAUGAAAAUUUAUCAACAUGAUGUUUAACCUUAGGUCAAAUCCCCUUAGGGUAGGUGAGUAUAUAAUUUAAGUAGGUGUGACUAGUUUUCAAAUUUUCGGAUAUUAUUUGUCCCUUUGGUACAAUAUUAAGGUUCUCAAGACCUUUCUCUCUUUUAUUCUGUUGAUUCAAUAUGUGAGUAAAUGAUUUAUAGCUGAAUCAUAUUUCAUCUAAAUCUAUCAAAUGUUAAAUGAUUUUAAUUCUAAAAUACCUUAAUAUUUGAUAUGCCCUUUUUCUUUAAGUCAUUAAGAAUGUAUGUAAUGAAUUAUAAAAUCCAUAGUCAUUGUCAACAAUCAUUAGGAGUUCCUUUGGAAAAAGGUUCACUUACCAUUUUCUUUGCUUUUGAGUGGUUAUGCCUGGUUCUAACUCUUGCAGGUGCACCUUGAGUUUCUAAAAUUUUAAAGUGACCAUGUUUAAGUAUGGUCUUAAGAUAUAGGUCAUGUGCUUAUCACAUCAUUAACUUCUUCUUGUUGGUUUAAAGGGAAAUCUUUCAUGUGUGGUGAGUUUUGGGUCCUCCACACUUUUGUUGUGCUAUCGUGAUGAUGUUCACUUUGGAGGCCUAUUCUGGUAUAUUGCAUUAUCUUUCUUGUUUCUUUUACAUACAAGGAAAUUGUAUACUUGGUUUAUCAUUAUAUCACUAGUGACUUGUUGUAUUCCUUAAGGCAUUCUCAUUCUUACUCAAAAAUUUACUUAGAAGGAAUAAGGAGUGUCAGGAAUAAGAGUUUUAAUUAGUCCCACAUAUAUAUUUAUAAUAUAUAUAUAUAGUUUCAAUUUUUGAUACCCAUUUCAAGUGGAUCGGAGGCCCAAUAAAUCUAAGCACAUUUAGUUACUGUUUACAAGUCCUUUUUUUUUAAUUUUCAUUUUGCUUUAUUUACUUAUUAUAAUAUUUAUUUUAUUUUAAAUUUAUUAUUAUUUUUUUACAGAUUACCCAAGUAUUUUAUUUUUUUAUAUGGACCAGAAGCCCAACUCUAUUAGCCCACAUUAUGUCUUCCUUAUUAUUAUUAUUAUCAUAUUAUAUUUUUUCUAUUAACAGACCCAUCAAAGGGUUUAUUGGGCUCGAGUUUGAUGUAAGAUCACCAUGGAAUUGGAUCUAAAACCCAAUUGGUUACACUGACUAGACCCGACCCGACCCAACAUCAAAAACCCCUUCCAUCACCUUCAACCUCUUAAAACCCUAAUUGCAUUUCACUUUUAAUUCCAGUCGCUAUCACAUCACAUAACACUCAACCCUUUCAAGUUUUGCUUAUUCAUCCCAUGAUCCAUCAACAAUAUUCACAACAAUCAAUAGUUGUUACAAAUCUAUAGCAAACAAUGAAUCUAAAUCAAAUAUAUUAGCUUAGAUAUAAGGAUUUAGAGUAUAAACUACUCUUAUCCUGGGUCUUGAUAUGAAGAGUUGUUCAUGGCAAUUUCUCCCCUUUCCUUUGUAAUCGAAUGGAACGAACUCCCAGUGGCAACAACAAAGGAGCUCCCCUUGCUCGCCAUUACUGCAGCCUCUUCUAUUGUUUCCCACUCCCUCUUUAUUUCCUCACUGAUUAGUUUCCCUCUCAUUAGUUCAUAGCUUGGUAAAGGAUAUACAUAUUUAUAUACAGGUGAGCAGAAAAUAGAACUGUUUGAUCUAAGGAUUAAACCGUGGUCGUCCUAUAUUCUUUUUAUCAAAACAACAUUAUUUUAGGGGUUCCUUUAAAUGACAUUGUUACAUAACUAAUUAUAGUGAGCUUAUUUUUUAAUUAAGUUAAAAAUUAAGCAAAGCCUGGAAAAUGAUAGUGAAUUGUAUAUUUUUUUAUUCAACUAAUAAGCCACAGGGGGAGUACCCCAAAAGAUGUGGCUAUAUAUAGAAACUUGAUGAAGGAAGAAGCAUGGGGUUCUCUAUGAAUAUCUUGUUAAUUCUAGUAAUUAAGUGGAUGACCCACUAAACUAAUAUUUUAGUUUUUCUCAUCCACUCAUAAAGGUUAAAGCCAACUUAAAGGACACUCAAAAUAAUAGAUAACCGUUAUAAAGCAAAAUGUAUCUUAAUGGAUUGGAUAACCAUAAAAUAAAUUAUAGAAUUAUUGUAUUUUAUAAGUAUUAAACUAUAAUAAUAAAAACAGUUAUCAAUACAUUCAAUUAUCUUAAAUGCAUUUUAGCCUCUCAACUCAUCUAUACAAGGAGCACAAAUUCCCAUUUCAAGGAGUCUUCCAUCAACUAAAGUUACAAAAUUCUUGUGGAUAAUAGUUAAAUAGAAAGAUGAAGUGAAUUAGAGAAUUUUUUCAAAUGGUCUCUCAAUCAUGUUAUGACUGCAUCAUCUUCAAAUGGUAUUUACCUCUAACUUUAUGAUAUUUUUUCUUUUUCUUAAAAUGUGUUGAAUUUAAUAAAAAAUAACUUUUGCAUCAAAUCUUUUUACAUAUCUCACCUAACAUUUAACAUAAAUGUUAAAGUUAAUACCCAAAUCAAUGAAAAUUUUUGGAAGUUUAAUUUUAAUUAUAAUUUUGCAAAGUUAAUCCAUUGUGACAUAAGUGCAAUAGAAUUCUAUUCAUUUUGAAUAAAUUUUAAAAUUUUAUUUUUAAAGAUUUUGUUGUCUUUUUAGUCAGAUUAUUUUCCCACAAUAUUAAGAUGUUGUUUUAGUUAGGAUAUUUUUUCGUAUCAGCUUUAAAUAAUGUUUAUUAGAGAAUUUUUUCUUGAAAAAUGAUAUGAAGAAAAUGUAUAUAUAUUAAAAAAAUUAUUAUAUGUACUUCUUUCUAUCAACAUACAGUCUAUAAUUUCUAAAAUUUCUUUUAAUUUUUUUAAAAAAUUAUAUUUUUAUUAUGGAAACUAGUAAUAAUUUUGAUGUGUAUGUAAAUGAUUCAAAUGAAAUUCUUUUAACUGAUCUCAUGAGAGAUCCUUUAACUAAGUUCAGAUUGUAACAGCCGAGGAUAUUUACAACCUAAAACAAGGAAAAUGGACGUAAAAGUCUUGAAUAUAUAUAUAUAUAUAUAUGAAUCAAGAGUUUUGAUUUGUAUAUAUCAUGUCACAGAGUAAGAGAAUCAAGGAACAAAUUUUGUGGAUAAUUGGGUACAAAAUAGAAUAAAUAUUCACAAGAGAUGAACUAAAAUGAAAGAACAAGUUCAUACUUAUUGCGGAAGCACAAUUUAGAAAUAAGCUGACACUUCAGCUAGUAGAAUGGAAGAAGGAGAUAAUUAGAUCUGGCCCCGCAUGCGAAAUACGUCAGAACAUAAUACCUUUAAGGGAAUAGACUAGAGGGAGCCACGUAAGACCGAAGUGGUGAAUCACAGGGUUCAAACCCAAACUGUGAUAGCUCGAAAAUACCCUCGACUUAAUUUUUUAUUUUUAAUAUAUUUAAUUUAGCUUUUAUAUAUGUUUAUAAAUAUAUAAUAAAGUUAAGAAUAUAGUUUAGAGUCAAACGAAAAAAGGAUGCAUAAGAAUAAAGAAGCUAAAAUAAGCAUGAAGAGGCAUGAAAAUAGGUGGGAACCUUUUAGAUGUAGUGGUACAAUGAAAAACGGUAACUUUUAUAUGAAGUAAAAUAUAAAGAGUGGUAACCUUUUAGAUGAAGUGACAUAAUGAAAUGUGACAAUUUUUAGAUGAACUGACAUGAUGAAAGGUGACAAUUUUUAAAUGAAGUGGUAUAGCAGAAUGGUGAUAACCUUUCUCUCAUGACUCCCCAUCCCUAUAAACAGGAGAUGGGAGAAUGGAGGAAAAAACAUGGUGGAUGAGAGAAAAAUAGUGAGAAACAUAUAGGUGAGGGAAGAAGGAGACCAAGUGUGAUUUUUGUGUGAGUAUUAUGAGAUUUUUAGAUAAAAACUUUAGGAAAACUCUGCUAAAUUUGUGAAAGCAAAGAAAGAGUAAGAGAAGAGGAAGAAGGCUCACGAACAAAAUGACAUUAUAAACCGUUAAAAAGAUGAAAAUAUUAUAAAUAAAGUCGGAACUCUACCAGAAUUAAGAUUAUAUGCUCCAUAAUGAAAUUGAAGCAAUAUAAGGGGGGAGACUCUAUCUGAGUGGAUACAUAAAGUGAUAGAUAAAAGGAAAGAUUUGAAAUACGACUACUAAGGAUUAAAGUAAAUGGAUAUUAUGGAUUCAUUAACCUAUGUAGCUUUCAAGUAUUUUACGUAUUUUUAGUAUAAAAAUGUGCAAGUAGAUGCUCCAUAAAGUAACAGGGCUAUAAAAUUCUUAUCAUUGUUCUUUGCGAAGAGACUAUAGUCAGGUUUGUACUGAUUAAAUCUUUGUAUAAUGAAAAAUUUUAAAAAUUUGGUAUACCAUUAUCCAGAUGACUGCUUGAGCCCACACAAGGUUUUCAUAAGUAUGGAAACCUUUCCUUCCUUUUUCUUUGGAUAUCCGGGUGGCAACUCCAUGCAAACUUUUUCAUCUAGGUCUUCAUGUAGAAAAACAUUGUUGACAUCUAAUUGUUGGAUAUGUCAUCUUUUUAUCAUAGCUAAGGCUAAAAGUAUUGGCAUUGAAACUAUCUUUGCUAUUAGGGAGAAUAUCUCGUGAUAGUUGAGACCUUCCCUCUGCAUAUAGCCCUUUACUACAAGCCUGACCUUGUAUCUCUCCACUAAUCCAUCUGUCUUGAAUUUUACUUUAUUUACCCAUUUGUAUCCAACAGCUUUAUUUCGCUUGGGUAAAUUAACGACCUUCCACAUUUUAUUCUCUUUAAGCACAUGCAGUUCACUUUUCAUAGCAUUUCUUUAAUUAAUGUUUCUAUUGGUUUCUUCGUAUAUUUUGGGUUAGGUUUAAGAUGCUACACUCAACAUAUAUUUCUUGUAUGCCCCCUUAAGUCUUACAUAUCCUACAGUUCUUGAGAUUAGUAUGGCUCCAUUUCCUCAAGCCUCUGAGUUUAACAUUUCCUCUCCACUUUUUUUAUCUUUGGUCUAUUCACAAAUAUAAUCUUUUGGGUAGUUAGGUGGUUUUUGGACACAGGUUGAUUUUCUUUUAGGUGGAUCUUCAGUCAUGAUCUCUCUUCAUCUAAUUCUUGUAUUUCAUGGCUUACCUCUUCCUUUGAAAUUGUUUUCUCCUAUUUUACUAGGUUCUCCUGCUUUCAAACUCAAUUCCUGCUCUCUUCGAAUAUCACAUUCUCUGAAGUUUUAAAUGGGUAGGACAAUGUAUGGGACAUUAACAGAAACAUUCCUUUUGCAUUUUCUGCCCUUACAAGAGAAUUUUUUUUUUAAUGAAACAUCAUAUUUCUAGCUGUAAUGAUCUUACCAAUUUCUCCAUAAAGUAAUUUGUACCCUUUGACCCCAAAUGAGUAUCUUAUAAAAAUGUGUAUCUUGACUCUAGCAUUAAAUUUAUGAAUAUUACCUAUUAAUGUAGAUUCAAAUGUGAGAUAUUCGAAUACCUUUAAGUGAUUGUUUUCUAGUUUCUUCCCCGUACAAUUCCUUAAAUGGUGUUUUAUUUCCUAUUGUUGUAGAAUGAUUUUGUUAAUAAGACAAGUGGCAGUAAGCACAAACUCACUCCAAUACCUGAUGUCAAAUUUGCUAUAGAAUUCUAAAGCUCUUACAGUAUUGAGAAUUUGUUGGUGCUUCUUCUUCACCCUUCUAUUUUUUUAGCAGCCUCUAUAUAAGUUUUAUAGUGCAUAAUCCCCUUUCCAUCGAAGAUUUUCCUCAUCUCAAACUCCUUACCAUUAUCACUUCUAAUGAUCUUGACUUUUAUGUGAAAUUGAGUUUCAAUAAGUAUAUAAAACUAUUUUGUGUAGGCUAGUGUCAGCCUUGCUUUUCAUCAUAUAAAGCCAUGUGCAUCAACUAUAAUCAUCAAAAAUAGUUAAAAAUAUCGAUAUCCAUCAUAAGAAGUUUCACUAUAAGGCCCUUAAAUGUCACAUUAUACCAAAUCAAAAUAACCAUUUGCCUUACUAUUACUAUCAGGAAAACAAAGUCUAUGCAUUUUUUUAAAGUACAAAUAUAACAAAGUUUAUAAUUUUUAAAGUUCAAUACAUUUGAGUUAACAAUUGACUUGGAUUGAUAUGGAUAUUCGAGUCUGUAAUGCCAAAUAUCAAAGUAUUUUUCUUCUUGAUUGUGUCUUGGUGCAGUACCAGCCACAACUCCAAAAUACUUUUGAGUUGAAAUUUUUGGUUUUUUGGACCAUUUAAGCUGAUAAUAUCCAUUUCUAAUCUCCCCCACUCCAAGUUCUCUCCAAGUUAAAAGGUCUUAAAUAACAUAAUAACUUUGUGAAAAAAAAUGAACAACAUUUAGUAUCUUGUGUUAACUUUUUUGUAGACAUAAAAUUAAAAUUGAAUAUGAUAACACAUAACACAUUAUUAAGUGUGAGUUUAUCAUUGAGUUUAACUACUCUAGCAUGAGAUAAGUCUACCUUUUAUCCAUUUAGUAAGAGUACAUUAGAGGCAACAUUUGAUGCAAUUUCAGUGUAUAAAUGUGAGGUAUACACAAUAUGAUCAGAUGCACUAGUAGCUAUAAUCCAAGAUACAUGUAUAUUUUCAUCUACUUUCAACAUGGAAACAUUAAAAUAAGAAAACAUACCUGUGAAGCCAGUUAAGCUCGACUCCUAUGAAUGUUUUGAAGGUGACUGCACCAUGUUGACUAAGGCUCUAUUUUGUUGAAUAAUUGCCAUCAAUUCAUUAUACUGUUCCUUGGUUAGGAUGUGAUGCUCUUCUCCUAUGGACUUCUCACUUGUGCUACAAGAAGAUACCUGAUUCACAUUGGGCUGUCUGUCUUUGCCUUGUGGUUUGUAACCCUUCACUUGAGUUUUAAUUCUAUAGCAUUUCCACCAUUGUGUUUGGAUUUACUUUAAAACAUCUUUCUAAAGAAUGUCCAUUCUUCUUGCAGUGUGCGCAAUAAUAUUUUUUCUUAUAAGGGCUUGAAGUCUCAUUUGUUUGCUCGUUUCCCUCAUCCUAAAAGCAAUAGCCCUAUUAGCCACAUAAUCCACAAAAAUUUCUCUCAUCUUGUUCUCUUGUUGCACAACACAAAAGGCAUCAUCCAGGCUGGGGAAGUUACUCUUCAUUAGAAUAUGUGUAGUGAUAUCUUUGUAGGAUUCAUCAAGACCCAUCAAGAACUUUAUUUUGUAAUCACUUUCCUAGCCCUCAAUGAUGGGUUUCACACCUCCACAAGUGCUAUUAUGGAUGGACUGAUAGUUUACAAACUCUUUAAUUAGGCUCUUCAGCCUUGAGAAAUACAUUCUUACUAGUUUUUGAUUUUGUGUAAUUCUUGCUAUGGAUUGUUGGAUCUGAUAAACUCUUAGUGCAUUUCGUUGAGAGAAUCUUUUCUCCAAAUCAACUCAUAAGUUAUUCUUUGUUUCAGCAUAAAAUGUAUUAGCCCUGAUGUUAGGGACAACAAUAUUUUGUAUCCAAGUGAUUAUGAUGUUAUUACACUGUUCCCAACGUUUGUUUUGUGGAUCCGUUGGAUCUUAUGGUUUGGUUAGAGUUCUAUAUAUAAACCCUACCUUUUUUUCCUAUACUCAAAGCUCGUUGCAUGGAUCUUGCUCAAGUGUUAUAAUUGUUUCCAUCAAGCAAUUAUGGGACGAAGAUAGCAGUUGAGUUUAUGGAUCUAUCAACGUAAUAUGGGUUGUUAAAUUACAGAUCCAAAUUCAUUUGUUCUAAAGUUCGAAGGGUUUGAUCUGUGGUGGCUCUAUGAGAGUUCUUGCUUUUAUUUUUUCUUUUUUUUUUUUACUCUUUGUUUUGUUUACUCUCAAGGAUCAACGGUCGCUGUCAGAUCCUAUCCAAUAAAAGGCGUCAUUGUGAUUCACGAAUUUGAUGGCUACAAUGGGUAGCUGCUGGUCAAACAGCGUGAUUUCAUUUUUUUUUCUCUUUUUUGUGUUUAAAUUGCUCUUCACAUCAAACAACGUUGAAAUGUUCUUCCUUUCUUUUAAUUCCGCUCUAAUACCAUGAAAUAAUUCAAAACUUUACAUUGAAAUGAUAUGGAAAGGAAAAAAAGAACAAAGAUAUAUCUCCAACUUCACCAUUGCAUCAAGCCGUUGCAGAGCAUCAAAUAAUUAGCCAUUCAAAUCCUUUUUCACAUUUCUAUUGCAAGAAAAGUAGAAAAAGAAUUAAAAAAAAAAAGGUAGAAGAAAGGAAGAAGGAGACAACACAACUACGGUUUCGAAAAGGGAGGGAAAUUUGAACCCUAGACAGACAGAUGUAUGUGCGCCUCAGGCACACGAUAGCAUGCCCACGUGCGUUUAAUGAAACACGAGUUUUGGGAUCCUGGCCUACCCACGAGUCUAGGCUUGGACGCGUGGGCCCUCACAGGCCCAAAAAUAUUUAUUUUCUUGAAUAAUAGAUGCCUUUCCUUUUUCAUGUUUUUAAUUUUUUUUUUCAACACUUUUUAUAACCUCAUUUGUAAUUUACUUAUUUUUACAUCUUCAUACAUAUGAAUAGGCUUUUUAAGUAUACAUAUUUGUAUAUACACUUGCAUAAAUACCCCUAUACAAUCUGGUAUGUAGUCUUAUCAUGCUAGUCUUCAUUAAUAACUUAUAUUUUUGUUACACACCCAUACAUAUAUUCAUAUAUACUUACAUAUUAAUACACAGCCAAUAUAGACAACACACAUAUUUUCCAUUCAUAUUAUACAUUAAGUACACACACUUAUAUACUUAUAUAUAUAUAUAUCUAUACAUAUAUUUAUAUACAUAAUUACAUAUACAACCAACAUACACAACAUACUUAUUUUACAUUCAUAUUAUACAUUCAGUACACACCCUUAUAUAUUUGUAUAUAUAAAUAACACAUGUAGCAUAUAUUUAUAAGCUUGCACACUCACAUGCACAAUCUCUAUAUGUAUAUAUAUCCCAGUAUACAUAUAUAAUUAUUCACUUCACACACACACUAACAUCAUACAUUCUUUUAGUUUUUCUACAAUCUAAAAUGCAUAUCCAACAUGCACACACAUAAUACAAUAGAUUUACGUACAAUUCAUAUACACAUAUAUAUACUUAAAUAAUGUGCUUAUAACCAUUUCAAAAUUGAUUUUUGUCUCCCAUAUCGCACCCUCACUGCCCUCUUGGAUUUCAUGCUUAAAAUAGAUUCAAACCACACUAAAACUUACAUAAACAGAAUCAAAUAACGUAUGCAAUACUGUAGGACUUGAAAUUUAAAAGAGAGAAAAGGAUUUAUAACAUAAUGAAACUACAUGAACAUAUUUGAUUAAAGGAAACCAAUUUUGUUAGUAUUUAUAGUUGAUUUCUUAAACUGAUUACCUUGAUUUACAACAAAAAGAGGGAUUUGGGCUCCUUGGUGUUUGCCGUUCCUCACGGUGAGAGAUGGUUUCCCUCAGCCAAGGCUCUACACUAAAACUACCUAUAUGCAUGCAAAUUUCCGGUGAAUAUUCAAAGUUAAAAAUGUAAGCAGGAUAGUAAUCCUAUAAUUAUUUGUUUAUUAAUUUAAUGGAUUAAGUUAAUUAUUUUAUUAUCCCACAAUAACUUGAAACUGAUCGAAUUUCAUAUAUUGUUAGGUAUAAAGGAGAAAAUUAUCUGUAAAUGGUGUGUAUAUGCUGAAUUUAAUUCCUUGCUUGGACGAAAUCAGCUUUUAGAUUUAGAAACAGACUAACAGACAGUUCAUCCCCACAUGUUUGCCUUUUGAACUUUGCCACACAAAGCAACUUUUAAAAAUUUCUUUUUGGAAUAAAUUACUGUAGGAAGGAAAUUAAGAUUCAUGCUCAAGAAAAAGUACAAUUUGUUUAUUCAAUCUCAAGCCCACCAAACAAGACUUAUGAAAUUAAUUAUUAACUCCUUCCAAACUCCAAGAAAAAUAAAAGGGGAAAACAAAGUUAGAAAAUAUUAACUCAACUGAACUCAUUAAAUUAUUAAUAUUAAGUCCUUUUGUAAAAAUUAUUAAUAAUAAAUCUUUUUAAUUCAUGUCCUCAACAUAUAUAUAUAUAUAUAUAUACACACACACACACACACACACACACAUGUACAUUACAUACAUUAAUAGCUAAUUUCAGUCUCUUCGCUCCUCGUAGAUUUACAUAUGUAAACAUUCACUCCUCGGAGAUUUUAGAAAUUAGAUAUGUAUAUGCGUUUGUAAAAUGCUCAUUUCGUGUGCACACUAAUUAAUUAAUUUGCCAAUACAUGUAAAACAUAUAUUAGAUAGUCCAACAUGCAUGUUCAGAUCAUGCAUUACAAUAAAAAUAUAAUCAUAUAAUUAAUUAUGUGAAAGAAACGUGAUUUGGAUGGGUAAAACGAGACAUGUUUUACAUAUUGUGUAUAAGCAUAAUAUUGCUGUUUAAAAAUAAUUUUAUUUUAUUUUUUUAAAAGAAAAAACUACUCUUUAUUAUUUGAUCAUUUAACUAAUAAUAAUACCUUAUAUUUAUGCAUGUAUAUCAUGUAUGUCUCAAUGAAUCUAACGCUAAACAUUAAAAAAAAUUCUUCCCAAAUUAAAAAAUAAAUAGAAGAAUAAUUUUGUGUCUGGAUAUGUGUGUAUAUAUGUAUAUAUCAACUGCAAAAUACAUAUAUAGAUAAUAUAAAUAGUGCACUCUCUUAUAAGCGUUUUUAUAUGUGUAUGCAAAAGAAAAUUUCCAACUCCAUUACUCACAAAUCAAUGGUAAUUUUGCAUUGUGACGUGAGUGGAAAAGAAAUCCAUUCAUUUUGAAACAAUUAAACCUUAAAAUUAUAUUUUUAAAGAUUUUGUUUCCUUUUUAGUUGGAUUAUUUUCCAUAAUGUUAAGAUCUUGUGUAAGCUUGGAUAAUUUUAUAUAUCAGCUCUAAAUAAUGUGUAUUAUAUUUUUUUCUGAAAAAACAUAUGAAGAAAACGGCUGCAUGUUAAAAGUAAUAAUUAUAUAUAUUUCUCACUAUCAAUACAUAAUUUAUAAUUUCUGAAAUGUACUUUAAUUUUUUUUAAAAAAGAAAUAGAUCUUGAUUUAUAGAAACUAAUAAUAAUCUGGAUGUGUUUGUAAAUGAUUAAAAGGAAGGGCCUUUGGAACUGGCCUUUAACACCAAAGGGAUGACCCAAGAGCGCACACUUUCUUACUCUAGGUUUGAAUUUUUAUAUAUUGGUAGUGAGAAUUGAAGCAAAAGCCAAACAUACAAAUAUUUCUAUAUCGGAAUAUUUUAGUGGUAUUUGAAAAAGCCUCUCAAAGGGAGUUUUGUGAUCUAUAGCAGAUGAGAGAGUUCUAUUGAUCAGAUAGAUUAUUGUGAGUGCAAAAUCACUCAAAUUCUUCAAUUCUAAGCCACUUCGUAACUUCAAUGUCCUAACAACAUUUAGUUUAUGCUUGUGUUUUCUUUAUACUCUUCCAUUUUGCUCUAGUAUUUCUACACAGCUCCUCUGAUGAAUGAUCCAUUUUCAUUCUUCCAUCUCAAACUCUCUCCCAUUAUCAAUGCAUACAAAUUUGAUUUUAGCAUUGGACCGCAAAAGCUUUCCAGAUUAUGAUAUGUUUCUAAUUUUGAUUUAAGCAAAUAUAUCCAUAGACAUUUAUUAAAAUCAUCCACAAUAGAAAGAAAAUAAUUAUAUCAAGCAUAGGAAAUUUCAUUAUAAUGCCUCAAAUAUUACAUUGUAUUAUAUCAAAACAUAUUUUUUAUUUUUAGUGACUAAUAUGGAAUAUAGGCUUAUGCAUUUUAGCUAAUGAACAUAUAUGACAAGGUCCUUACUUCCUACCUUUCAAGGUACCUGGAACAAAGUCUAAAAUGGACAGUGAGGUAUGUUCCAAUCAAUAAUUUUAGACACUAAAACAUUAUCCUUGAUUAAGGUCAAAUUGAAGUGUUGUAAACAAGUCCUGUAUCACACAAAUUUUAUGGUGAGAAAAUAAGACAACAUUUUGAAUCUCUAAUUACUCUUCUUGCCAAAAUCAAAUAAAAUUUAAAACAUGAUAGACAAAGGACAUUCUGAAGUGUUAGUGCAUCUCUUAUCUUCAAUGUUCUAAAAUGGGAGACUCUCACCUAGUCUCCAUUUAGCAAAGCAACUACAAAAAAACUCUUUUUACAUCCUCAAUGUAAAAGGAUGGUCUGUAUGUAAUAUGAUCUGAGGCUCCAGUAUCUAUGAUUCGAUUGCAAGUUAUAUUUAUUUGGGUUUAUUGAGUGAGCAAAGAGACAAGGACAUACACUAGAGAAGCCUAACAUAUUUUUGUCUUGAGGCUAGGAAGAUGAUGAUUGUAUAGGUUUCUUCGAGGAGAGCUUUGGCUCAAGUUGAGCCAUCAGUUUUGAGUAUUAAUCCUAAGUGAUCAUUGCUUGUCUUUAACUAAUUUUUGAUUCACAUGUCAGGUGAAUAAAAUUGAUUAACACUAGAUUAAUCUGAAGCAAGUCUCUGUAGUAUGUCGAGGCAUAUCAUAAUAGGAACAAGUUGACUUAUUUUAGUUAGCCUUGAAACAUCUCUCUAUAGAAUGACCCAUUAUUUUGCAGUGAGUACCGUAGUAUUUUUCUCCAUUGGAAGUGGAUCUUUUUACUAUUUUGUAUGCAUCUCUGAUACUGAAAGCUAGGGUUUUCUCAGUCAUGACAUCUAAUGAUAUUUAUCUAUAUUUCUCUUCCUGUUGAACAAUGGAAUAUACUUCAUUUAAAUUGGAGAUAGACUUUAUGAGUAAAAUCUGGAUUUUAAUGGUCUUAUAGGAUUCAUUCAGUCCCAUAAAGAACUUCAUCACUCAAUCCCUUUACUGGUAUUUCACUAUUAUUUUUAAAUCCCCUCAUGUGCAAUUUAGGAUAUAUUAAAAAUAGUUUUGAUUGAUGUGUAGUCCAUUGAACAUUACAGCUAUAUAUAUAUAAGUCUUCUAGGACGAAAAAUGAAAUAAACAAUUAAUUGUAAUUAAUUACAAAUAAUUAAUUUUAUCAUUUAAUUUGAUUUACUUUAUUUCUAAUACCCUAAUUUAUUUCCUUCUUAAACACCCUAAUUUAUUUGAAUUUUUCUACUCAAAAACAAAUUUGAGGCAGAUCCUGCUUUGUAAAACUUAUGCGCCUAGGUGGAAACACAAUUUGGUACUAAAAUCAAAGUCAUUUGAAGUGAUAAUAAGAAGGAAUUUGAUAUGCAAGAGUUUUACUUGAGGAAGAGGAUUAUACAUUAAAGAAGCUGUAUUGAGACUCCUAAACAAGAUGGUGAGGUUGAAAUAAAGGAUCAACAUAUUUUGAGUGUUGUCAAGACAUUAAAGUUUCAAAGUAGACGUGAGUUGAGAUAUUAAAGUGAUUUCAUCUUUUUGUAGUAUAUUCGCUGUAUAGAAUCCCUUUAUCUAUAAUUCAACAUAAAACAUUUGAAUUAUUAUUAAACAAAACUGAGCCAAUAUACACUCAUAUGAAAAUCUUUAGGUGUUUGGCCUUUGCUUCAACACUGAUAAGUAAUAGACACAAAUUUGAUAUAAGAGUAAGUAGAUGUGUAUUUCUUAGUUAUCCUUUUGAUAUGAAAAGAUACAAGCUUAUGGAUAUGGAGAAAGAAAGGGUAUUUGUAUCAAGGAGUGUGGUGUUUAAUGAUAAUGUUAUGUCGUGCAGGUCUAAAAUGAGUGAAGAUAAAAAUCUAGAAUACAUAAAUCCAUAAAGUAAUGAACUGCAAGUCUUAGAGGAGGCUAGCCUGAUUGAUAACGUAAACGGUAAACUGAAUUCCAAAAAUAUUUAGAUGGAAACAAAUAGAGAUCAUGUAUAUAAGGAGAUAUCAUGACCUUCAUUUGCCUCCUUGGAUGAAGAGGGAAUAGAUGAGACAACAAGAUUUCAUGAGGAUGAAGCUACCUCACCAAAGGGUAUAAAGAGGUCCAAUAAAAUCAAAGAACAACCGCCCUAUUUGAAAGACGACAUAUCUCAAUAAACUGUGGGUUUAAGUAAUCAUUCAAGGCCAUUAUACGAGUGGAAGGAUGUUGUACGUAAAUUGGUCCCUAUUUCAUCAACAUAUCACAUAUGACAAUCUCAAUCAUGAGCACAACAAUUUUGUGUUUGUUGUCAGUUCCCAAUAAGAGCAAAUUCCUAGCAGGAGGCCUGUAAGGAUGUGAAUUGGGUCAAUGUCAUGAAGAAUGAAAUUGAUGCAUCAUAGAGUAAUAAAACCUUUAUCAUCCAACAAGAAGGCAAUGUGGUGUAAAUGGGUGUAAAACUCAAUGUCGAUGGCACAAUGGAGAGAUACAAACAAGGUUAGUGGUUAAAAGCUUCACACAAAAAGUGUUGGGUUUUGUCCAACCCACGUGGAAAUUAAUAAAGAAAAGAAAAAAAGAAAAAAAAAGGCUUUAAGGGGGAACGAUUUUCUCUCUCCCAUGUAUCUGUGUGUAUAUAUAUAUAUGUGCAGAAAUCGAAAUAAAAAGAAAGAAGUGUGCAACAUUAUUUUUCUUUAUUUUUUUCUCACACUCUCGUGAAAAUCGAGAAAACAAAAAAAUAGAGGGCUUUUGUUUUGGUUUCUCCUCUCUCUCACGCACAGGACCGAGGAAAAGAAAAGGGCUACAAAGUUUGGUAAUUUCUAUUUUACUUUAUUUUUAUUGAUUAUCAAAUAUUGCAAGUAGAUUUUAGAAUUGUUUUGCAGAUUUAUUCUCCAGAAUUCUUGAUGUGAUCAUUCAAGAGAAAUUGAAUUUCCCUAGGGAAGCAUUGAUAUAUUUUCUCCAUUAUUGGUAAUCUCAAGUGUAAAUUAUUUGAGAAUAUCUUGUACUUAGUCCUUUGAUAGUGGAUUUGACUCAGAAUUGGUCCGUGAUUUUUUUCCUACACUAGAGGGUUUUUCACAUAAAUUUUAUGUCUUGUUACUUUUGUGAUUGAUUCUUUUUUUACAUUGAUUUUGAUUACAUUAUUGAUUGACUUGGAAUUGUAAAUUGGAUCCGAUGAAUUAAUUUUGUGACUACCUUAGUUUGCACUAAAGAUUAGAAUAUUUUGGUAUAACCAACAAGUGGUAUCAGAGCAAGGUUGAUUGGUUUAUUGAUUGAUUUAUGGUCUAGGAUUAAUUGUGUGAAUUAAGAUUGAAGAAUUUGUUGGUACAAUGAUAAAAUUUUCUUCUUCAAGUUAUUCAGUUUGGAAGUAAAAGAUGGAGGACCUUCUUUAUUGUAAGGAUUGAUAUGAUCUUAUUAAGUUAGGAACUACUAAGCCAAUGGAAAAAUCAUAUGAUGAUUGGAAAAAAAAUGUAUAGAAAGACUAUAGGAACUAUCUGACAACGGGGUGAUGAUAGUUUUUAUCAUUAUAUAAAUAAAUAAGUGAAUGCAAGGGUUUUGUGGAAUAAAUUAAAGAAUAUGUAUGAAAAAAAAAGUGCUCAUAAUAAAGCUUUUUUGUUAGAAAGCUUGUCAAUAUGAAGUUGAGAAAUGGUCAAUCAAUUGUAAAACACUUGGGUAACUUUUAAAAGUUGGUAAAUAAAUUAAACAUAAUGAAAAUAACUAUAGAUAAUGAACUAUAGAUGUUAUUACUCUUGAGUUCUUUGCCAUACAGUUGGGAGACCUUGGUGGUGUCUCUUAGCAAUUCUAGCCCAAGUGGUAUUUUGUCUUUAUCUGUGGUAAUAGAUAGUAUAUACAAUGAAGAGACUAGAAAAAACGAUAUAGACAUUGAUACCUUACAAUUCCUUGUCACAUAAAACAGGGGUAGAAGUAAAAAUAAAGAUCUUAAAGGAUGCAAUAAAAGAAAAUUUAGUUGUUAUACUGCGUAAGGGGCAUAUGAAAAAAAAACUGCAGGGUUUGGAAAAAUGAAUAGAAUAGUGAGAAAAAUCAGAAAAAGACAAAUAAUCAUAACACUACUGCAAUUGUAGCUAAUGACAGGGAAUAACUGGUUGUACUUUCAUUUGUUGAGGAUCAUAGUCAUGUCAUUGAUUCUAAUACUGAGUAGGUUAUUAAUUAUGUAGCAUUCUAUCAUGCUACACCCAAGAGAGAUAUCUUUACUAUGUACAAAGCAGAGAAUUUUAGCAGAAUGAAGAUGGAUAAUACCAGCUAUGCAGAUAUUAUGGGUAUUGGUAAUAUUAUUAUGCAAACAGAUGUUGGUUGCACGUUGACUCUGAAGAACAUGCGACAUGUGUUAGAUUUAUAUAUAAAUCUGAUUUCUACUCAUGUGUUGGAUCUAGAUGGUUAUUGCAACUCCUUUGAUGGUAGAAAAUAGAAACUCACUAAAGGUUAAAUUGUGGUUGUUAGGGGUAGUCUGUGUCACAUAUUCUACAAGACUCAAGUGAAGUUGAUUAGAGAUGCACUGAAUGCAGUUAAAGAUGAUGAUUCGUCAAACUCAUGGCAUAAGCGACUAGCUCAUAUGAGUGAGAAAGGGUUGCAAACUCUGGAAAAGAAAUCUCUUAUUCCUUUUGCCAAAUGUAUGAGUUUAAACUCUUGUGAUAAUUAUUUGUUUAGUAACCAACAUAGAAUUUCUUUAGUAGUUCAUCUAUAAAAAAAAGAAUGUUAUUGAAUUGGUUCACUCUUAUAUAUAUGGUCCUAUUGAUAAGGAAUCUGUAGGAGAUAAUAAAUAUUUUAUUACUUUUAUUGAUGAUACUUCACAAAAAGUUAGAGUGUUUAUUUUGAAAAGAAAAUAUAAGGUUCUACAGUACUUCAAGCAGCUUCAUGCUAGGGUAGAAAGAGAAAAAAAAUAUAAUUAAAGUGUCUUCGCAGUGACAAUGGUGGUGAAUACACUUCAAAGGAUUUUGAGAAUUAUUGUGUACAAUAUGGAAUCAGACACGAGAAGACUAUUCUAGGUACUCCUUAGAAUAAUGGUGUUGCUGAAAGAAUAAACAGAACCCUUCUUGAAAAGGUAGAUGCAUGUUGAAAAUGGCUAAUCAUCAAAGUGAUUUUGGGGUGAAGCAACCUACACUGCAUGUUAUUUAAUGAAUUGAUCCUCAUCAACUCCUUUAUAUUUUGAUAUUACUUAGAGAAUAUAGUAUGGGAAGGAUGUAACUUAUUCUCACCCGAAGGUAUUUGGGUAUAAGUCAUUUGUGCAUGUAUCUAAGGAGCAAAGACAAAAACUUGAUGAUAGGACUAUUCCAUGUAUUCUUUUGGGUUAUGGAGAUACAGAGUGUAGGUACAGACUAUGGGAUCCAUUGAAGAAAAAAGUCAUCAGGUCUAGAGAUGUCAUUUUUAAUGAGGAUACUUUGAGACAUUAGAGAAGAUUACAGGUGAAUAUAUUUCUUUUCUUGUAUUAGUUUCUCCUUCAAUCAGAGAUGUCACAAAUAGGGAGCGUUACAUGAUAAACAAAGCACUGAUGAUAUGCCGACACGAGAUGAUAUUGAGUAGGGGGAGCAGCCUCUUACACCUUAGAUUACAGAAGAACCUCAUGUUAGAAGGUUAACUAGAAUACAUCAUCCAUCUACCAGAUAUCUUAGUUCAGAGUAUUUCACAGUUACUAAAGAGGAGGAGCCAGAGAGCUUCCAAGAAAUAUAGAAUCAUAACGGAAAAGCUCAGUUGAUGAAUGCAAUGUAGCAAAAGAUGAAUUUUUUAAAGAAGAUUCACACCGAUCCUGUUGACAUGUUGAGCAAAGUGAUGACUCGUGACAAGCAUCAGUCUUGCACUAAAAUGGUGAGACUGAGUGACAAUUGAGCAAUGGAUGUAAGGAUACCUCCCUAUGGGCUGGAGGGGGAGAUUAUUGGAUUUUUAACCCACGAGGAUAUUAAUAAAGAAAAUAGGGGAAAAAAAAUGAAAAGCUGUCAGAUUUAGGGGGAAUGGUUUUCUCUUUCCCAUGUAUAUGUAUAUAUAUAUAUAUAUAUGCAUAAAUUGAAAUAAAAAGAAAAAAGUGGGCUGUAUUUUUUCUCUUCAGUUUUUUUCUCUCACACUCUCACGAAAACCAAGAAAACAGAGGGUUUUGUUUUAGUUUUUCCUCUCUCUCUCUUACACGAGACCAAGGAAAGAAAAAGGGCUACAAAGUUUGGGAAAUUCUAUUUUGCUAUAUUUUGUGGAUUCUUAAAUAUUGCAAGUAGAUUUUGGAACAGUUUUAUAGAUUUAUUCUCUAGAAUUCUCGGUGUGAUCAUUCAAGAGGAAUUAAACUUGUCUAAGGAAGCAUUGAUGUAUUUUCUCCAUUAUUGGUGAUCUCAAGUUGAGAAUAUCUUGUACUUGGUUCUUUGAUAAUGGAUUUGACUUUGAAUUGGCCCUUGGUCUCUCCCUCUACAUUGGAAGGUUUUCCACAUAAAUUUUGUGUCUUGUUACUUUCGUUAUUGGUUUUUUGUUUACAUUGAUUUUGAUUUACAUUAUUGAUUGAAUUGGAAUUGUGAAUUGGAUCCAAUGAAUUAAUUUUGUGACUACUUUAGUUUGCAUAGAAGUUAGAAUAUUUUGGUAGACCCAACAGAAGAAACGCUUGGAUUAUCACGAGACCUUUUCACUAGUAACCAAGAUAACUACUGUAACACCCCGUCAUCACUGUGCUAAUAUGAUUUGAAAAUCUUAUUUAUUUGAGCAUUCGGCCGCCUUAAAUUUUAAUUAAUUUACGCUAUCCAUGAUUUUAAUUUAUUUUUUAUUUAAUUUUUAUUAAUUUUAUUAUUAUUUUAUAUUAAAUGAAAAAUUUAGAAAAAAAUAUUUGGAAGACGGCGAAAAAGGAGAAAACCGGCUCGUUAGGAAAAAAAUCCCGCAGGGAAAACAGGUUUACUCACACGGGUAUUAGGCACUGUGUGCGCACACAGGCACGCACAGUGGCUGCGGGGGCGUGCACACAAUGCGCACGACCCAUCCACGUGCACGGCCCAGGGUCAGAACUUGCGUGCACGUCCUGUCAUGUGCAGGCAGGUCAUCCACGCGUCACUUCGCAAACUAACUGGCGCCGCACACUGUCCGCGCAGCACGCCCACGCGAACAAGCCUUGUGCACCUUGGGCCUGUGCGCCUACAGGCUAGCCUGUAGCACGCCAGUAUUGCCCUGCCACCUCGGGGAAAGCUCCACUGCUGUCUUGGGUGGUGCGCCGACACCGCCACCGGUGAAGGAAUAUUUUCUCUCUCGUUUUUCGUACUAAAAAUCUUUUUUCUCCUCUCUCUUCACUGGAUUUCAUCACUUAGUGCGAAUCCAGCGAUUUUGAAAUUUUAUAAAUUGCCCUCUCCCUUCCCUUCCUCUCCACACUUCUAUUUCUUCCAUUUUUCAAAGGUUUAGAGAGAGAAAGAGAAAGAGAAAGAGAGAGAGAUAGUAAAUUAAUGAAAGAAGAAGAGAAAGAAAAGUAAAAUUGUGAAGAAAAAAAUAUCGAGGUCUCGGCAAGGAAUCUAGUAUUACUUUCGACGUUUUAAGAAAUAUUUUUAGAUAAGUAAAUUUAAUAUGAUAGUUGUUUUGUCGAUUUUUCGUGUCUCUAUAUUCAAAUGGGUCGAAUUAUUUUGAUUUACAAGCAUUUUGUGUGAUUUACUAACACUUGAUGAAUUUGCAUGUAAUGAAUAAAAUAUGUAAUCACUAAAAUGAAAAAUAUAAAGAAAAAGAUAAAAGUAGAAUGAAGCCUAUAUGGUCCGAAGUGUAUUUGUAUUGACAUGAAUUUUGCAUCAAGUGUUUCGUUAUACUUUUUGUCUCUGAGGGGUAUCUGUUCCCCUUACCAUUCAGGGUAUCUGUUUUCCCAUCCCAUAUCUGGUCUGUAAAAACGUAAAAGGACCGCUUUCAGUGGAUGAUGGUGUGCCCUCUGACGAGAGCGGUAUCGCACUAUCUGUAGGGAUCACCCAUGGUUAAGUAAUGUCAUGACUAUAGACUAUCUGAUAGGACCACUAUAGUUGGUACGAUCGUGGUCAUAGAUCGUACCAUGAUUUGGCUAGUUAGAAGUGGGCCUGAGCAGAUUUUCGUAUCUAUAUCUGAUCUGGUCAUUCCACUUAAGUAGCUGAAAAUCUGUAUCUGUAUAUGCACUCAGAGAUGAAAGUUUGUAACGACUUUGUGAAGUAUGACAUGAAAAAUCUNNNNNNNNNNNNNNNNNNNNNNNNNNNNNNNNNNNNNNNNNNNNNNNNNNNNNNNNNNNNNNNNNNNNNNNNNNNNNNNNNNNNNNNNNNNNNNNNNNNNNNNNNNNNNNNNNNNNNNNNNNNNNNNNNNNNNNNNNNNNNNNNNNNNNNNNNNNNNNNNNNNNNNNNNNNNNNNNNNNNNNNNNNNNNNNNNNNNNNNNNNNNNNNNNNNNNNNCUGCAUAAAUAUUAUCAUGCACUCGUUAUUCUGAAUAUGUAUUUAGCACCCAAUUGCCUUAAUUGGCACCAGCGAUGUCAUAACCAUUAUGAGAUUAAAGCUUUCAUCAAUAGUUAUUAAGGGAUGACAUAUUCGACAAUUUGAUUAUAACAUUGAAUUUCUACGAGGAGAAUUAGAUGAAGAAUUGUAUGUUGAAUUGUCACCUAACUAGCCAACAGAGGAAGGUUAAAAGUAUGUAGAUUGAUGAAAAGCAUACAUGAGUUGAAGUAGGCUCCACGUCAAUGGUAUACAAAAUAAUCAAUGUUCAUUCUCCAACAUGGCUUUAAACAAUCAAAGGCUAACUACAGCCUAUUUGUGAGAAAUGACAUAGAGUAUUUCGCUACUGUGUUAGUUUAUAUGGAUGAUAUAAUCUUAGUGAAGAAUAACUUGAAAUCAAUAGAAGCUUUGAAAAGUUCAAGACCAAAUACCGAGGAAACCUCAAAUAUUUCUUGGAUAUAAAAGUUACAUGAUCCAAGAAUGUUAUUCAUAUAUACCAAAGAAAAUAAGCUCUAUAUCCCUUAAUUGAAAUGGGUGUAGUGGGUGCAAAACCUUAAAUGCUAUCACCUAACCAAAAUGUGAAACUAAUAAAAAAAGGCUAGUGAAUUGAUUCCUAAGACUGUCAUGUAAAUAAGGCUUGUAGGCAUACUAAUGUAUCUAACUCUAGCAAGACUAAAUUUGUCAUUUUUACUCCAAUUACACAAAUCUCGUGCUCAGUACCUAAAAUGUUGUCUAUAAGAUACUCAGGUAUGUCAAAGGAACAACUCGAUAGGAACUAUUUUACUCAUCCUUUUUAGAGUUACAAAUCAAGGCAUAUUGUGGUAGUGAUUGUGAUACAUCCCCUAAUAUACAUAGAUUGGUCACAUAUUAUUACAUCUUCCUUGGUGAGUCACUAAUUUCCUAGAUAUCAAAAAAGCAACUGAUGGUGGUAUGAUCAUCUGCAUAGGCAGAGUACCGAGUGAUGGUAGUAACGAGCUGUAAAGUGAUGUGGAAAAGAUGUCUGUUAUCAUAUUUGAGAUUAACCACCUACAUAUUAUAAAUUCUAUACUGUGACAAUAAAGCUAUAUUACAAAUUGCACCCAUUUCAGUCUAUUAUGGAAGCGCGAAACAUAUAAAAUUGUAUUGUCAUUUGACUCGUGGAAGGAUUUGAAAACAUAACCAACAAAUUGUUGAUGCUUUGACUAAAGGCUUCCUAGUGUCACUGCGACAUUUACACAUAUUCAGGAUAGGCGUGAGAAACAUUUACUCUCUAUCUUGCAGGGGAGGGUGUUAAAAGAAGUUAGCCCCUGGAGCUCCGGAAUGCCAGCAGUGGGUGAUGGUACCCGAGAAGAGACCCACGUGUAUUCAUGUAUAUAAUGUGUGUAUAUAUAUAUAUGUAUGUAUUUAUGUAAAUAGUGUCAUCUAUGAUUAGGGUUAGAUGAUGGAUAUGUUUUUGUGUGCGUGAGGCAUCGGUACGCUUGUUUUUGUCCCUCUUUCUCACUACAUAUAUAUAUGUAUUUUUUUUUUCUAGUUUCCAAAUAAGAAGUGUCAAGAGAGAACAUAAAGAUGACCGAUUAAGGUUUCAUUCUCUCAAAUUUCCAUCCUCUUCUACCUUGGAUCUUGAUCAAUUCGUGUUGUUUUUUUUUUUUUUGGUUGUUUUACAUUUUAUUAUCAUCAUCUUCUUUCAACAAAAUAAUUUAGAAAAGGCAUCGAUUUAUUUUGAAACAAUAAAAUAUUAAAAUUAAAUGUUUAAAGAUUUUGUUCCCUUUUUUGUUGAUAUUUUUCCAUAAAUAACUCUUAAAUGUUUAAUGUUUAACAGACAUUUUAACCACACAAAAAAAAACUGCUAAUUAACAUAUUAUAGCUCAAAUGGUUGUCAAAUUAAAAAUUUUAUGAUCAUAGAACAAGUGUAAGAAUGAUACUCUUAACUUGUUUACCACUUAAAUUUCAAUUAAGUAGUAUUAAAUCUAAAACAUUUAAGAUAUAUAGAUCAAGUUUAGAUUCAUAGAACAAAAAAUUGAAUAAGAAUGGUACUCAUAAUUUAAGAUAUAUAAUUAAAAUCAAUUAUUUCUCUUCUUUAUUUUUUUAAUAAGUUAAAAUAUAAUUGUAAUGAAGGGUAAAUUUUAUAUAUUGAACAAUUAAAAUCUAAAAAAGUGAAUGAAAAAUUAAUGUUCAAGUUUAAUUUGGUUUUCAUCCUUUUAUCAGAAAAUUAUAAAACAAAUUACACAACAAAUAAUAUCUUUGGCUGUUGUAACCCAAUUGCUGGUUUUUGUUGUGUUUCAUAGCAAUACAUUCUCUAUGUUUUGGCAUUUGUUAUUUUAUAUAAAAGCAUUAAUUAUUUGAAUCAAUUAUGCUAGACAUCACGACGUCCAUAUACUACCAAAACUAUUAGGUCCAAAUAUUGAAAACAAAUCAUUUUAUGGGCUCUAAAAAAAUGAGAAUUAAUUUAGUGGACCUGAAGAGAUAUGCAACAGAUAGAAGAUGCUGAAGCAGAAGGCUACAAGGUGAAGGUAAAAUGGUAAGAGAAAUUAACAUUAUAAUUGAAACAGACAUCAAUGCGGUGAGUAAAAAUUUUGGAGAUAUGACCAAUUUGUAUUUGUUUACGCGAACAACUUCAGUCUUCAGCUAAACAUUUUAACUCUAAAAGAACUGUAAAUCAUCCUUUCUUUGCCAAACCCAUUAAAAAAUACACUAAAACAACUGAACCCACUACCAAAGUCUACAGUCAAUCCACCUAUAACUCACUGUACUACCCAGCCUUACAAUUUUCAUCAGUUCAUAAUAAAUGCCAAAAAGAAUUCAAUCAGUAAAUAAAUAAAAUAUUCAGAGUUCUGGAGACUGGAAAAUCCCAAUAUUGUUAUUUUGUUAUCCAAUUAUUAUCUACAGCCAUCCAUACCCCUAAAAAGAGGGCGUUUCAUAAUUCACAAGAGAAAAAAACAGCUUAAAAAUGCAAUGUAAUUAAAAUCAAAUCCAACUUUCCUGUUAACGAUUUUUACCCUCCUUGAUUUCCUCCUCGUCGUCGUGAUUAACCCUAGAUAAUCCCAUACCACGACCCACCGCCGGCCGCGCCUCCACCACCGUCGCCGACGACAUCUCCAUCUGGCAAACCCUAACGGCACCAAUCAAUCUCUCCGGUAGUUCCUCCUCUGUCUGCGACUCCACCAGGAACCCCAUGUCUAUGGUCACGCUCGUCACGUAUCCCAAUGCCAGAUGCAGAAUUGCGCUGGCGAUGGCGGAGCUCCCUAUAUCAACGUCAAUCUCCAAGUAAUUGGAUCCUCUGUGAUAAUUACAUGUCAAGGCCUUACCUAGAAGGCAGGCGCUGUAGUUUCCGACCGUCUUUUUCACGAUCCAUGGUCCCUUGACGAUCCGGUUGACGAUCUUGAACCGCUGGUUCCUGAACGAGUCGUCUCCGUUGAUGAACCGGUAGAGGAGAGAACAGGAGGGAAUAGGAUCUUCCGUGGCGAAAUAGAAUACCGCGCUGUGCUGGUCUUUACCGGGGACUUGGAGAUUAACGGCGAUGAUGAAGCUCUUGAGGGACUUGCCUUGAGACUGCGCCUCCUUGAGCGCAUUGGCUACACGAUUAUCUGGACGAGCUAGUACGUUGUCGAGCUUGGUGGUGGACUUAAGCCAGUCCAUGCCAGCGGGGGAGAGUAAGUAGUCGCCGGAGGGGGAUUUUUGUCUUUUGGUAAAGUAGUUGGUGGAGCGGAGAUGAAAGAGUUCUCCAGGAGGAGAAGCCCAGCCAUUGAUUCCGGUGUGUAGAUCGACGUGGCGCAAAGAACCACCGUGGACGGCCUGGGAAAGCCAAUCAGGUAGCGUGGAGGGGGAGGCGGAUCUGGAGCAUUUAGUGACGGGUUCAUCGGCGGAGGUCCGGUAUUUGUGUUUCGUUGGGCACAUGGCGAGAAUCAAAGAUCCUCUCUCCUCUCUCUCUCUCUAUACAAGAGACACGCACGCACACGCACUCUGAAAUCUUAAUCAGUGUUUUCAGACGAUAGUUUGUUAUCUUAUACGAGUCUCCCGUAUCGAGUGAAGAGUAAAGCAACAGACGAAGGAGUGCCCGGUUAGUACAAAAAUUGGUGCCCCGUGUCCUUUGAGUUCCACGAAACUACAAGAUUGUCCCAAUCCUUUCAAGGACAGACCAGCAUUCAAUUCACCCACCCAGCCACGUCUCCUUAUUUUCCAAAAUUCAAACUCACCGCCCUCUAUCAAAAUAGUGACAAAAAUAUUUACUCUGCAACAGAAUCAAAAAGUGAUUUUAAGAAAUAAUUAAUUCUUUGAUUUUUCUUGUGUAGGAUUCUUUUUAAUUAUUAAGAGAUUUUUUCACCUUUCUAUAUUUAUCUAAAGUUUUUUUAUAAGAAAAAAAUUAUAAAAUAUAAGACAGUAUGAGUACAUAUUAAUUAAACUUUUUUUUUUUUUUAUAUAUUUAGUCUGAAUGAAUUUACAGAAAUUCAUAUACUAUUUUGUUUAAGGAAAUUUAAAAUUAUUAGAAAUAAUAUUAAUAUAAUAAUAAUCUAACAUAUUAUUAUUUUAUUCAGUCUAGAAAAAAUUAAAAUGUAAGGUAACAUUAAAGACACCUUAGUAAUUUACACUAUAUAUUUUAUUGUUAAUCAAACAUUAAAUAAAAAGAGUCCAUUCGGUCAGAUCUUUUAUAUUCUAUAGUUUUUCCAUUUCACCAUGUGUUACUCGAUGAAAAUAAAUAGGAUUUACUUUAUUCACAUACACUAAUUACGGUAAUAGUAAGGAAAGUCAAUGGAUGACGUGGAUUCUGUUUCUUUGGGGUAAUCUGGCGGCUGAGUUCAGUGAAUCAACACAAUGGUAAAUAUGAAUAUUAAUUAUAAUGAGAAUCAUGAUAUAUGUGAGUUGUAUGUGGGCCGGCCAACCCAACUGGUAUGAGUUGGGCGAGAAUAUCAUUUUCUUUUUAAUUAUUAAUUUCACUUAAAGAGGUGGUUGGCACAAACCAAAUAUAAUCGGUAAUCAUUGCUAAUAAAUAGAAAGAGAUGUGAGAGUUAAAACUACAUACAGAAGAAGAAGCUUGCACCACAAACUAAAAAACAGAGACACGUACAAGACAUGAAUGGGAUGGAAAGUUGAUUCGAUGUUCGUGUUGACUUCAUCAUCAUCCACGGUCAAGAUAGUGACACGUGGAAUAAUAAGCCGAAAGCUAAUAAAUACAUUCCUACAAUGACUUAAAAGAGAAGUCACUGGACCGGCCCAACACGUGGGGGCUGUCACUCGGAGGAGACCUCAACCCUACCAACGAAUAACGGCUUUUCUUUUUAUUAAAAUUUAUUUUAUGAAAACAGUAAUUUCGAAAUAACUUCUCAGAAAACACGAGUUAACACGAAACUUGUCCAGCCCAUCCCGAAUCACUCACCACCCAGUACAAAAAAGGAGUGCAGAUCUAAGACAAAAAUAUCAUUUUUGUCCUCAUUAGACUUCCAAAUCAACAUGCCCGCUAUUGUCUGCAAAUGCAAACAACAUAAUAAAGUAUCAACUUUAAGUUUCAACAAGGAAAAAAUACAUGUACCCACACACGCGAGUUGAACAAGUGUCAAUUCAACUCAAUCAUUGACCCAACCAUUUGACGUCUAAUCGUUGUUUUAACACCAGGAUGGAGUCCACCCGGGCAGUUUAACUUUAGCCCAUGUGCUCCGCAACCUCCAUGGAGUCCACCCGGACAUGCUUCAAGACUCACGUUUCUGGCUUUGCUUUACUUACCUCACACCCAAGGACUAAGUCCACCCCAACUGCCAAUGCAAUCCACAUUCCCCUCAAUUCCUAAAGCUGGCUUAACUACUGCCCUUUCAUCCCCUGUUUAAUGGCCGUAAACCAACCGCUUAAAUUGCCUUUUCAUUCCCCAUCUAAGGAAGAGAUCAGUCAGCUAGUAAACAAGCUUAACUUGCAAAUCAAGUACACAAUUUAAGUUUUUCCUAUUAAAUCUAAGAAUUUCUUCUUGUUUUCUUUGCAAAUCUUCUAAUUCCAGUAUGAAUAAACCCACCUUUUAUCGGACUAGAAAGUCACUGUCUUAAAGUUCAAGAGGUAGCCAAACAAUUUCCAUGCUACUUAACCCACUGAAGAAAAAAGCUUUAAAUUAGACAAGCUGAGUAUAAAAACUCCUCACUAAUCUUGUCUUGUGUGUUUUAAUUUCUCUAUAUUGCUUCUUUGCUUUCAGUUUUAGAUCCAAAAAACAGAACUAACUUCCUUGCUCUACUCAAUCAAAUAAGUAAAAUAUCUUUAUUCUAACUAGAAUUAUCACAAGUCAACCUGCAGUAAAACACACUAGUAACAGUAGUAAAUAGCAAAGAUAUACAUGAGUUCCGCUGAAAAAGAUAGUACCUAAGUUUUAUAAGCUUCUUUGACAAAUAUGUUCUAAGACUAUUUGAAACAAAUGCACUCAUAUUUUGAAACUUAAAAUAUUCCUGUUUGAGAAUUAAAUCUCUCGUUCACUUGGUUAAUGUUAGUUUAGUAUAACAAUCCUGUAUGUCCUUAGAUAACUAACACCCAUAAGCGUAAAAUAUGCUGUUGCAUCCCUAUAAGCUCCCUUUGACAAAAAGAAAAAAAAAACAGAGCCAAACACCCUCUCGAUCAUCGAGUCUGCUGGUUCUUCAAAAUAAAAGUUGUCUGCUGAGCGUCAGUGCAAACUUACAGGCAUGAACAAAUAUAUCAUCUCAAAUCUGUUAUAUUGCAACGAACGGACAAUAACACAAGAUUCAACUAAUUGAAUUCAUAUUAGUGUUCCAAUCCAAAUCCAACAAACCACAUACACUGGAAACAAUUAAAAUCUAAAAAUGUUGUAUCAGGUAAUGAUUUGAAUUUAAAAGCAACAGAGAGACAGCAACAUGCAUGCAUAUGCAUUUAUUUGGUCUAUAAUACAUAAUAAAUAUGGAAUGAAAAUCCCACAUUUCCACACCAUAUAUACAUAUGAUUUAUAUAUAUACAUACAUAUAUAAUAUAUAUAUUGAAGAAAGUUCCAGAUCAUAUAUGUACUUUCAUAUAACUUCUUGCAGCCCCCUAAACGAGGCCCAAGUUUCAUUUGCAAAAUUUAAGCUAAUACAGUCACCUUAUAACUUUUCUUUGAAGAAUAAUACACUCAUCUUACACCUUAUCUAAACAUAAAAACAGAGAAGGAAACAAAUUUGGUUAAAUAAAAAUACGGUUGCUUUCAUUUUCAGGAAUUUAUAGUUAAACAGGAAGGAAACAGUUUCCAGAAACUUCUUAUAAACUGUAAACUAACAGCUAAUGAAAUAAUGAUGUUACUAAUCAUCUUGACAAUUUUAGAUAACAUAAAAAUAUUACACUGAACCGUUCCUAAAAAUAGGCCAAUCUUUCAAGGAAUUUGGACUCCAAAGUUAUUUAAAAUUAGGAGUUUAUGAGGUGAGAUAUCAGCAAGCUAAAAUUUUAACAAUAGUACAAACAUUUUUUGGGUGUUCAGAUGGGGAUGGCGGAAGGGGGAGAAGAGAUAACAGGGAAAUAGCUCAUGCAUGGAAUACAAUGAAGUACAUCAAUAGUUCCAUCAGAAUCAGGUCAUAAAAGAAAUUCAGAAACUAAUAUCUAUGUAUGUCAUUACUGCAUUAUUUGAACCGCACAAUUAGGCUCAUAGUACAUGGUGCCAGUAGGCACCUGGGAAAAAUCAUGUAUGCUAAAGAUUUUUCUGGAAUUGAGAAAAGCAGACAUGCUAGCAGAAUAUUUGCUUAAAGCGAUUGAAGAGGUUGACCAUCAAGUGUCCUUCAACUUGUGAGCGAUAAUGCUAACAACUGUAAACAGCAGCUAAACAGUGAAAAGGUGCACAAAACACAUUGGUCUUCUUGGGUUGUUCAUUCUCUUAACUUGGUCUUUAGACAUUCAGUUUCUGGACUGGAAUAGUUGAAAAACACUUAGAGAAAGGGGAAACCAUUGUCAAAUACAUUAACAACAAUUCACAAGAUCCAGCAAUUUUCAGAUCUCAAUCAAGGCUAGAGUUGCUAAAAAUAGCAAAGACCAAGUUUGCAUCAAACCAUAUUUAAUUGAAAGGUUAUUGAUUUUAGAGAAGCUUUUGCCACUUGCUAUUUGCAAAUCGAGAGAAUAGAUUAAAAAAAAAGGGAGAAGAUUGGUCGUUUAGCUUCUAAAACUAUAUGCAGUGAACAAUUCUGGGAUGAUUUGGAGAAGACUAUCUCUAUCACAGAGCUCAUUUACCCAUUGAUUAGAUUUGUUCAUGGAGAUGGAGAAGAGAUGGGAUGAUUUAUGAAAGAAUGGACUGCAUGCUUGAAAAAAUUAGAGACAUUAUCAGGAACAACAAAUAUGCAGAUGAGUAUUCACAGAAGGAGAAGACUGUCCUAGACAUAUGGAAAAAGAUGAAUAUAUCUAUGUAUUGUCUUUACACUUAACCCGUAAUUUUAUGAUCCUUGUUAUGUUAUAGACAAGUGGAUAUGCUAGAAGAGCUCCAAACUUUGACAUGGUGGUUAUUACAAGUGUCCUAGAGGCUUUUGCAGAAAUAGCUGAAAAUAAGGAAGAGGAGAAAUAAUUGCGUAAGUAAUUUGCAGAUCUUCACAAGAAAAUAGUGAUUUGCGGACUUGCAGCUGCCCAACAUCAUGUAUGGAGCUUAUAAAUUGGUGGGCAACAUAUGGGUCACAAACUCCAUAAUUGGCUGAGGUGAAAAAAAUGUUGAUCUCAACCAUUACGUAGUUCUUUAGCUGAUAGGAAAUGGAGGACAUAUUCCAACAUCCAUAAUGUAAAAAGAAAUAGAUACAAGGUUUGACAAGUUAGUUUUUUAUCCACUCAAAUAUCCAUUUUCAAUCAUGCUUCUCAAAAAGUUAUAAGGUUGGGCGUUAUAGGAAAUGGGAUAUUGAUGCAGACGAUAUAAACGUAGAGGAUUCCAUCAUUCGAUUGGAAGACGUGAGAUGGAUUUCUUUGGCCGGGGAUUAUGUUGACAUUCCAAAAGUUAAGGACUAGGAAGUGACAACAAAUAAAGGGAAGAGAAGGUGAUGUCUUAUGUUUUCUUUUUACUUGCAACUCAUGGUUUUUUGGUUUGAAUUGUUUGUUUCAAGAUUUAGGUUACUAUUUUUCUUAUUAAUUUAACAACUUCGCUUAUCAUGUCCAAUAUAGUAUCUAUUAUUUGAUUAUAAAGUAUGAUAAGAAAGCAGAAAUUCUCUUGAAUCAAUAUACCUUUGAACUCUAAACUACACUUGUGAUCCAAAUGUCGAUCCCAGUGAAUAUCAAACCAAGAAAUUGCCCGAUUGUCAAAGCCUACUCAAAUUGAACCACAAGUCAAACUCAAGCUCUAUUAUAUUUGAUUAGACCAAGUUCAAGUACUCAAAUAUUAGGCUCAACUCAGUUUGUUCCACCCCUAAAAUACCAAUAUACUCACUCUAAAUUGAUGCUAAAUGUAAGUUAAAAAUAAGUUUUUGAAUACUAAGAAAAUUUUCCAUAAAUGUAACUUUAGUAAUUUUAUCUGUUAUUUAUGCAUUUAGGAAAAUGUGAUCAAUAUUUUUUAUUUUUUUUAUUAGAAGUAAGAAAAUAUUGAAUUUGUUACUAUGGUUAUUUCAAUAUUUCUUCUUUUGUUUUUUUUUUUUGCUGAAAUGUCAGGUUCAAAGUUUGUAUUAAAUUGUAAUUAUUGCGAAUGUAAAAGGACUUAACCAAGGGAAUAGAAGAACGAUUUAAUUUGAAGUACCUUCAUUUAGUAAAGUUUUUGUAGGGUUUUUUGCUUCCCCUUGUUCAGUGCUUUUAUCCUAGUGUUCAAUCUUCUCUUAUCUAUCAUAUUCCUGUCAUCCAUUCUAUUUCUGUGUUUUAUCUCUCUAAACUGCUUGUUCGUGCUUCUUGAUCUUAUAUUUUCCUCCUCCUUACUCCCACACGCUUCUAGUUUCCAUCACUAGCUAUUUUGUCCUUUCCAACAUCACUAGCCACUGAACCUAAAUUCAUCCAACUCAAUUGGUACUAUCACUUGAAAUCCCUACUCUUCCAUUGCACAACUCAUUUGCUUGGUUCAAAAAACUAAAAGCAUCUCAAUCAUAAUUAAUAAUAAAUCUCCAAAAGUCUAGCAAAUAUUUCUAAAACAUCAUAAAUAAUAUGGACAACAUAAAAUAUUGAUAAAAAAUGCAUAAUUAUUAUAUAAAUAUUCCUACUAUUAAAAUCAUUCUGUUUCAGCUUGUUCCUUUUCUGCAUCACUACAUCAGCAAAAAUGUAAAGGUCAUAAUCAAUGUUCUAAAGCAUAGCAUCAGAUUAUGAAUUACAUGAUAAAACCUUAUUCUAUAAUAUAAUAAGCUGAUCCUAGGACAUUAGGUUACUGACAAGCACUCAAAAUGAAAACAUUGGAAGGCAGUAACAAUGUGUCUGACAUUUAUUGAGUCAUCCGUAGACUUGUCUUCUAGACAUUUUUCUACUGCUGAAACCACUGGAUGUUGACGAAUCUUUUCAUUUAGGAAUUUUACUUCAUUAUACCCUGAGAAGAAAUUGCACCCACCUUUAAAAUCAUUUCACAUACAAAAUUUUGAUCUAGAAAAUGUAAAUAUAAACUGAUUUUUGUCUGAGGAGUAACUUCUACGAAAACCGGCAUAAUCUCCACUUGAUGACAAUAACAAACUACAACAGCCCGAAGAACAUAAAAGAGAACUGUUCUUUCUAUGAAGUGAUUAAACACUACAACCACAAUCAACCAAAUAUGCCAUAAAUUGAGAAAUGGGUAAAACAUGACGAGAACAACACUCAAAACGUAAUUGGUCUACAUAAUUAUUCACUUCAGGUUGAACUGCGUAUUUCACAUUUAUUCCAACUAUAUUACAAAAAGCUUAAAGCAUAAAUAUACCGAAUAAGCAAUUCAUCUACAAUCCUAAGAACCAAGUUUAUCCUAAAGAAAGAGAGAUAAAGCGUACGACCGAACCUAUUAUACUGUAUUUUAGUGUGCCUUUCUUCUCUGGGGUUGCUUAUCAGUCGCUAGUCUGUAAAUCCAGUAAACCUACGACCCGUAAAAAAGAGAUUAUAUAUACAGCGAAAAGAAAUGGAAUGUAAAAGGCUUAAUGACCAGACAAGACUUCAAGAUCUCACCAAAGCAAGUACAUGAGCUGCUAUAAGGAGAACCACAAAGAGUGGUACUAAAUCGAGGAACCAUGGCCGGAGAGGAGAUGGUGGCUCGAUCGCCAUUUUACAUAAAUGUAAUGACGCAAACUGUCUGUAAGAGCCCUAAAGAAACUUUGGGUUUGAAACACUUGCGACUUGGGACCGAAGCAAUGACCGUGAAGGCCGGGAUUGCAGAUUGCUGCUAUGAAUCGGUUCGGGUCAACCAAUGAUCCGACUCUGGUGCGGAAGGGGAGCGUUUGGCGACGGAUAUUGCCGCAGCCCUUCCACGAUUCAAAAGGUACCAGUAACCAAACAGUACCUUCUUAUGGGAAGACCUUAACCUAAAUUCUCUUAAAAAAUUUAUAGCAUUUUUUAGUACAUUAGAAAAAAAUACAAUAUUGUUUUAGUCCCUAAAUUUUUAUAAUCUUAGAUUCUAGAAAUUUUUUUCUUACAAAUUUUUCCUUUACAUUCAUUAAAUUAUUUCAGUUAUAAUUUUUAUUUUAUAUAUAUUCUAUUUUCUAAAAAAAUUUAUAAAUUAUAAUAUUUGAUGUUCCUACUCUCGCUUAAAGUGAUUACAGUCAUCAAACACUAAAUAUACAAUAAAAAUAUAAUUAAUAAAAUAUUUAUAGAUUUAAAAUAUUCAUCAUCUAUCGUUUGACCACAUUGUAACAUUGUUUACAAUAUAUAAAGUUCGUAUUAUAGAAUUAAAAUAAAAAUAGAUACUCAUUCAGUUACAAAAUAUAAUUUCCGUAAUGGGUACUCAUACAAUUUCUUUUUAAUCUAGUUCAGGGUGCUCAUACAGUUUCUUCUUAAUCUAGUUCAGGGGUGAGAUCCUCCUUAUCCACAGUUGGAUCCUCUUGAUAUGAAAAGAUAAUAAUUUAAUGAGAUGAGCAAUUUCAACGUGCUCAAUAAGUAUAAGAAAUAUACUACACUCUAAACAUGCGACAUAUAGUUAAAAAAUCAAUCAAAGAUGUAAAACGUUUCUUUCUCUUUUUAUUUGAAAACUAUGAAAUGUAAAGGUAUUUCAUUUCUUAUCUCAUCUCUUAUUAUUCCCCAUAAAUUUCUUUUAUCUCUCAAAAUCCCCUUAAGUUUAGAUAUUAUUCUUCCAAAUUCUCUCGGAAUAUUUUUUUUCUCAAAAUUCCUCUAAAUCCAUUUUAUUACAUAGUUUUCCCUCAAGCCAUCUUUUAUCCUUCAGAAUCACUGCUAGAAUUUCUCAUAAGUUUUCGAUCAAAUCGAGACAUCUGUAACUCCUCAAUGAGUAUCUCCAAUACUCGAUUUGCUGCAACACAAUCACCAUAUUAAAGUUAUUAAAGUUUUAGAAUUUUAUUUGAUAUUGAACAGAUGUAUAUGUUAUCAAAUUGAUACUAUUAUGGGAUCAGGAUUUCUACUAUUAUAAUGGGAUGCACAUACAAACAACACAUGUACAUUAGUCACAACAAUUCGUCGCGAGGUGACUCAGAAUAUAACAUGCAUCCCAACCACCUCUGAUAUGGUUCACCAUACCGCUGAAUUUCAAACACACCAAUCUUAAACGAGUUAUCUCUAAAUUUUUGUUUCUUUCAAUGUUUUAUUAUUUUCUUUUCUUCAUAUUCUAGUUAAAAUUGAUAUUUUAUUUUAUUUUAUUUUAUUUCACAAUUAAAGUUUCACUUAUCACUAUUCUCUUCCAUUUUCUAACUAAUUCCCUCUUAAUUUAAUUUAGAAUUUUUAUUUAAUUAUUUGAGUUUAUUUUUUUGUUAACAUUCGUUUACUUUAUGUAAUUUUUUGUGAUUUGUUAAUAUAUUAUAUAUAUGUAUUUGCUAGUAUUUACGAUUAUUAUUAUUAUUGUUAUUUUAUUUUAUUAUUAUUACUUAUAUUAUUAUUAUUAUUAUUAUCAUUAUUUAAUUUAUUAUUUAUAUAUUCUUUUUAUUUUAGAUAUAUGUUUUUCAAUUCUUAUUAUGUAUGAUUAAUAUUUUUUAUAUUUUGAAAUCUUAUCUUUAUUUUAAUUCUUUUUAUUUCUAACUUACUUAUUUUCUCAUUUAGUAACUGAAAUAUAAUUUUCCUUUAUUUCUAAUUUAUUUCCUUCCUUUUUUUCAUCUACUUAAUUUCUUAGUUUUAACAACCCAUUUUUCAUUUUUUUUCAAACUUUUUCUUUCGAAAAUUUAUACAUAUAUACACUAUAUAAACAUCAUACAUGCAUUCAAUUAAUUCAAUUAAGCAAAUGAGAAUUUAAAAAUAUGAUAAAAAACAUCAAAAUGUCUAAACAGAUGGUUUGGGGACCUUUCCUGACAGUUUAAACUGUUUUGAUAGGUUCUGAUAUGAGUUUUAAACCUAAUUCACCAACUCCUCUUUAUAAACUUGUAGCUUCUUAUCUGGUAAACGAAAUUCAAUAUAAAUUUAUCCUAUGUAGGUUUCUGAGUUACCUAUUAAUUAUAGUUAUAAUUUGAAAGUUGUUAGGAAGUGAUUUGAGUUCCAAAAAUGUCCCCAAAAGUUGAAAAAAAAUCUGCAAGGAAAAGUUCAUUCUCGGGUCAAUUAUAAACCUGCAAUUUGCAUACGAGUUUUCGUGCAUGCAUGGCUUGACUUUGAUUUAAUUUGAACUUUAAACAUGUUCGAUUACAUGCAGACUAUCUCUAGAGCAUUUUGUUUAAUUAAAAUAAUAAACGAAGCUCUAAAAAAUUGUUCACUAGAGUGUCAGUUUGAUCACACGUUGGGGUCACAGGUCCCUGGAAAAUCCAAUAGGUUUUUGCAAUUUUGGGCAUUGGUUAGCUGCGAAAUACCCUUCCCUUAUCGAUAGGCCCUUCAUCUAUGAUCUCUGCCUCUCUUUCCCCUUUUUUCUCCUUUCGUCCGCCGGGAGUGAUGAACUUUAGCCCCUUUUCUCUUCUUCUUCCUUUCUUCUUCUUUUCUUCUUUUAUUUGUUUUUUUCUCUUUCUUUCCAUAUCGGGCUGGGUUGAGUGGCCUAUAUGGGUUUUUAAACCUAACACUCAACAAAUCUGGACCGCAUAUGUAACGGCCCCGGAAAUUUAAAAUGAAAUAUGUGUAUUCAAAAUGUCAAAUGCGGAAGCGAAGUCAAAAUUUCGAUUAGCAUCCCUUACACUAAAACCAAAAACGUGCUCAAAAUAUAAAAGAUCAAACUAACUAAAAGAGAAAUUCGAAAGUAAAAGCUAUGAAUAUGACUAUGGAGUCUUUAGGCGUCCCCUUCGUCGUCUUCCUGCGGAACGGGCUCGGGAACAAUGUCUUCCUGAUCUGAAAUGAUUAAAUAAGGAAUGAGCUACACUAGCCCAGUAAAGACAUCACGAUAUCUCACCGUCACGGAGGUAAAGGUGGGUAGAAAACACAAAAAGACCAAUGGAGCAUGAUUUACAACAAAUCCUUUUAUUAAUAAUAAAACCUUUACCAUCCACUUACCUCGGUGAAAUUCAUAAAACAAUAUACGAAAGCAAUAACAUUAUCAUCAUCAUGAAAUCAUAUAAACUGUAUAACAUAAUACUUAUCACGCCUUUUGUAAUUCAAUCAUUACACAACAUAUUUUUCCUCAUUUACCAGCCUACUAGUAUCCAUGGGGAUCCAUAGGGGUCCCGCUACCCGUUAACUCUUAAUACUUGUAAUCAGAUUCCAGGGCCGUCCCCAUACCCCGUCCGGUAUGGGCGCUAAAACUAUAAACCUCAAUACCCUGUCCGAUAUGAGGAUAAAACGGGCCGUCCCCAUACCCCGUCCGGUAUGGGCACUAAAACACAUAAGGUCUCCAUACCCCGUCCGGUAUGAGAGACCACAAUCCCGGUAGGGUUCCCUACGGACCCGGUCCGUCCACCAUCUCAUAGGAUAUCUAGUCAGGCUGACCACAUUAUACAAUUAUCAAUCUACAUAAUCUUUCAUUCUCCUUUUCCUCAGUCAGCAUCAUCAAUUCACGUACAAAUAAGCAAAACAGUAAUUUAUGCCAAACAAGACAACAUACAGCAUCGGUUUCUCAGUCAUUCAACCCAUAAUCAAUAAAACAGUAAAAUAUGCACACGAAACUAUGAAAUGAAAAUAUCAAACCUCAUACUGCAUUUAAAACUGUAAAAUAGGCCAAAUAACAGUUAACCGACAAACACACUAGACUCGGGCUCCAUUAGCGACCUUAAGCAAUUUCACACAUUCGUUGAUUUAAGAAAUACCGUUUUAUCAUUAUUGAAAUUUAAUACCGUGAUAGAAAAUAGGGUGAGGGGUCCUUACUCGUUUCGGGGUCCGAACACAGCUUCACAGUGCGCCUACAGGCUGUCCCUAAUUUUCCCUGAAUUUUUUCCGGGGAACUGAAACGCACUACUGGUACCUGCACGUGUUCCAAAAAAUCCCAAAUUAGGCCCAGGGCCCCUUUUUGGCAAAUAUCGCAAUUCCGGCACGGCGGCGGCAAUUCACCUCGGGUUGGCCGUUUUCGGCCGUUUUCGGCCGAAUUCGGCCACACUUGCAUCGGUCCCUGCAAUAAAAUAACCCUAGGGCCCUCGGGGGGCCAAAAAAUUGCGGAAAACCGAAGCUUACCGGCGGCGGUGCUCUCGGGUGCAGCGGCUCUCCGGUGAGGUUCGUGUUUUGGUAAUUCGGCUCUGAUCAACCUGUAGAGAAAAGAAUGGUGAUCACGGUGAUAUAAAAAUUGCAUCAAACGGAGGCCGGGAAGGGCCUCAUCGGAGGCAAAAACCGAGGAGGGGCGCCGCGGCGCCGCUGGGUUUCGGCUGUGUUUUUCGACCGUUUGGCCGGGAUUUUGGCUCCGAUUUGGCCAUAGGAGAAAUCAGCGUGGAAAAACGAGUCGGGGGUAUCAAAUUUACCUCGAUCGACAGUCAGAAAUCUCCCUGGUGCGGCGGCGGGUGGCGGCGGCCGGCUCCUCCGGCGUCUGGUUCGUCUUCUCCGGCGAGGGCAGGCGGCUAGGGUUUUUGUGGUCAGGUGUGGGGGUUCUAUUUAUACCCUUUUGCCUUUUGAUCUCAGCCGUCCCAUUUGAUUUAAUCUGGGCCGUCCAUUUUUGAUUGAAUCUGGGCCGUCCGUGCGAUUGCAUCUGGGCCGUCCGUGCGCACGCUUGAUCUGGACCGUCCAAUCGCGCGUACGCGGAUUGCCAACGUAGCCCGUCCCCGGGUCGACGUGGUCUUGCCACAUGGCAGGUCCUGGUUGGUCAGGACUGCUGACUGGGUCUGCUGACGUGGCUGCUGACGUGGGCCUUUUUUUUUUAAUUAAACUUAAUAAAUAUACUUAAUAAGAAAAUUACGAAAAUGCCCAAUUGUUUGGGCGUUACAGCAUAAACAUCAUCCAUGUGGCUGCAUACGAUCCGAUGGAUGGGCCUUCAUUAAUGGCAAAAUCGUAAUUUUGUUAUCCUGUUCUUUACGAUUUUGUCAUCUUGUUCUCUCAACCGUUAUAUCACAGUUCUCCUUUAGAUCUAAACCGUUCAAUCGUGUGACUGUUGGAUCACAUCAAAACGCAUGCAGACCAUCCGAUCAGCAUCUCGCAUGUAGACUGUUGGAUCGCCAUCAUUUUCUCUAUAUAUCUGCACACCAUUGGAUCUGACUGCUGCAAUCUCACCGUUGGAUUUGCCCAAAACACCCAGGACCAUCCGAUCUGCUUACCGUGGGUGUCUACAUGGAUGACCACAUGUGUGGGUCAAACAUCACGUGCUUCUCUUUGAUUGAGCGACUGCCACGUCACUAGCCCAGAUGACUCAUUUUUCAAAAAUUAUAAAAUGACUUAAAUUUUGAGUUUUUUUUUUUAUUUUGGCCCUUAAAUCAAUUUUUAAAUUUAAAAGACCCCUAAAUAAAUUUAAUUUUGUUCAAUUUAGUUUCUAAUUUUAUUUUUAGCAUAUUUAGGAGUAAAUUUUAAUUUUAUUUAUUUUUCAUAUGAUUGAAUUUAUAUAUAAACUAAUUAAUUAAAUUUAAAUCCGUAAAUUAACAUUUAAAAUUUAUAUGUAAUGUUACAUAAUAAUUAAUUAUUAAUUUUUUUAAAAAUGUAAAAAAUAAUUUAUUUUAUUUGAGAUAAAAAAGAUAAUAAUAAACAUAUAUCAGAGGAAAAAAGAAGUUAUAAUAAAUAUUUUGUUAGUAUCUUUUCAUUUUUUUAAAAAAAAUUAAUUAUCAAGAAAAACUGUAUUUUAAAAAUACUUUUUUAUAUUAUUCAAGUAAUACGGAAUAAAUUUUAUUAUUUUUUAAAAAAAUUACAUUUUAUAAUAAUUUUAUAAAUUUAUAUAUCAUUUACAGAGAUAAUUACAAAUGGAAUACAUAGUGAUUUUUACAAAAUCUCAACUUCAUUUGAUUUUAAAUUUUUAAAAUCUGAAUCUUCUCCUGAGUUUUUACAAAUUAAUAUUUUUAGUUAAAUAUAAAUUUUUACUUAGAACUACUCUGACCUAAUUGAAUAUUGAUUGUAUAAUAUAAUAGUAAUACAUACAUUAAAUAAAAAAGAUAUAUUAUAUAUAUACAUCAAAUUAAAAUAUAUUACAUAUUGCCCAAUUAAAAUUUAAAAAAUUUAUUAUAUAUAAUCGAAGUAGCUUUAAACGGAUUAUGCAGUAUUAAAUAUAAGUUGCACCAUAAUUUAUAUUUUAGUAAAUUAAUAAAUUUGCUCAUGGCUUGAACUGCCUAUUCAAUCGCCAUCUGCUACUCAAAACGUGGCAAAUUUUCUCAAAUCUCUGCGCACCUUUCCCUUCCUCUCUUUCAUACCGGCAUUUUUUCAGACAGUUUCUGUGCAUAAGCUGUAGACCUGUCUAUGGGGUUGAUUGAGCUGCCCUACACAGUCAGAUAGAUGAGUUCUUCUUUUAGCCAAUGAGGAAUGUCUCUGUAAUUCUCAAUCGUCACCGCCAUCUAAGUCUGCUCUUCAUACGUAUUGUUCUUCAUCACUUCCAAUUUCAUAUAUUUUUCUUGUGAUUUUUUUAUUAUUCAAUUUGAUUAUCAUGAGAAGCAAAAAAAAAGAAUCGAAAUAGUUUCAACCGGUACCUAUACGCUUUCUUUUAACGUCCUAAUGAAAAAUAAAAUCUCAGUUAAAAAGACCCGAAAUUUAGGAAGCGAUUCUUUAGUCGUGAUGGAAAAGCUUCUCUCAUCUCUCUCUCCCUGUCUCUUCUUCUGAAACUCAGUAGUAUAAUCAAAUUAUGGUUUGAAAGUAGGAGAACUUAAUUGUUUUAUUUAACUUGAUUUGCCCUUGCUUCAUUGUGCUUAAUUUACAUUUUAUAAAUGUUAUUCCUGAUAACUUUAAAUUCGAACUGACUGUUAUUUCAGCACUUCACAAGGAAUUUAUUUAGGGUUAUUCAAAUAAUUUGUUAUUUGAUGGUGUUGAAUUAAUAGAAUUGAGACUGGUAAAUUUUCCCAGUUUAUUAUGCCUGUCUACUGGAUGCUAUGAGCAGUUAUAAGUUAGUGUCGCAUUCUUCUUGCAGCUCUACGCCAUGGCAAUCCCAUUGAGUCUAUCUUGUGCAAAUGUAAAUCACCAGGGUGCCCAAAGGCUGGCGAGGUUGCAAGGAGAAAUGAUACUUGGUUUCCUUUGUCCUCGUUGCAGAAAAAUUUGUAAGUGAAUGCUGGGCAGAUGAAAUAUUUAACAGUUGCUUCCUUUUUGGCAUUUUUAGAUGAUUCAUUUUGCUUGUGUCCAUUUCCUUAUUUUUAAGGAGGGAAAAAGUAUAGUUUCACCCGUGCUUUGACCAAUUGCAAUUUAAAGCUUGUGAUUUUUUCGUGAAAAUUUUAGAUUGGUUAAUUUAUCAUUUUUAUACAAAAUUAUUAGUUUUUAGAGUACAUAUGUACAUAUGCACAUAUAUGCACUUAUAACUAUGAACAAUUUUAAAACUAAAUAAAUCACAGUUUUAAAAAUAAUAAAAAAAAUGUAAAAGAUAAUAGUUUUAAGAAAGUAAUGGUUUUAUUUAAAAUGACUAAAAAUAAAUUGUGAAAAAAAAUUGAAAUGACUGAAUUGCAAUAAAAACCAAAUCACAGGAUGGGGACCUGCGAUUUUUCUUAUUUUUAUUCUUUUGAGUUCUCUAUAUUCAUUAGAUUGCCAUUUUGAUGCAGAUAUUCAACAGGUUUCAGCAGUGUUCAUGGCGAAAGGCCUACUGCAGACUACGCAAAAUUGAGAAGGGAAUCCCUGGAAAAUGAAUUUGGGCAUGCUCUUGGAGUUAAUACUUCCAAGAGUAUAUCAGUUGUCUAUCGUUUUGGUCCCUUUUUGGCAUUGUAUAGAGCGGCAAUUAUUUCGUUCCACGUGUUGAAGCUCACUGUCUGGCAAUUGUUUCUUCAGGACAUAAGAAAGCGAGCAAUCAAGGUACCAUUUUCAUGCUUUAGUUUCAUCUUGUAGUAGGUAAUUGCUUGCAUAUAAUUUUAUGGUCCAAUAUAAUUUAUUGGAUUCACACUUACUGCUUAUAUGGGUAUUGUUCUCUGGUUGCAUAUCUCUCGCAACAGAACUGGUGAUGCUACUCAAGUAUAUACGUAAACUAUCAAAACCAAGAAACUGCUGAUUGAUUGAAACUAAUGUGGUGCUACUGUAAUUAUUUUUUUCAUACAAUCAUCCUCAUAGAAUCCAGCUCCCUCAGCUCUGCAAAAACUUGAUUCUCCAUUGUGAAUAUAAACUCUUAACUUCUUUUGGCUGCAAUUUUAGGUUUCUUUACUCAUUGUUUUUCAUGCUCAUAAAAUUAUUUGCUUCUGUCUGCCUAACUAUAUUUCCUAGUGUUUACCUAUUUUCCAAUGUGUACUCUCUAAUGUUUUAUAUAUAUAUUCCACUACAGUUCCGCGAAACUCUUAUCCGCUUGGGUCCUUUCUUUGUCAAGGCAAGUUUUAUCUUGUACUACUAUUAUUUAGGCUCUUCUUCUCUGCCUUUCAUAUGUUACUGUUAUGGUAUUCUUCAUUGCUCUGCUUUUUUUUUUUGUGGUGGGGGGAGGUUGGGGUUGGGGGGCAAUUUGAUAAAACUGUGGGCACCUAUCAACCUUCACAUUUUCAUGUUGGCCAAUGAAACUCAAUUUGAAGAUUAAGUGAUUUUAGCUUCUUCAAGACAUUGAUGACUGGUUUUCUAAAUGUCAUGUUAGAUGCUUGUCUUUAGAAAAUUUGAUUGAAGUUUUGAUGUUUUGAAAUAAUCAACUGAUUAACUCCAAGUGAUUGGAAAAUGUUGGGGUCAGUGUCUAAUUUCUAAUGAAUUUUAUCAGCCUUGUUUUCUCGUUGUUGGGUUCUAUUUUCAGUAUACUGUGAAGUUACCCUUGUAACAUCCUGCUUUCUCUAUUGAGAAGAGAUGCUACCACACGUAUAAAUUUUACAAUUGUGCAACAGUGUAAAAAAUAAUAACUAAAAUUUUUAAAUCUCUUGUUCAAAAUCAAAUACAUGAAGCCCUAUAAGACUUUAAUUACAAAACUAUCUUAUGAACAUCGAUUUUUGCAGCUUAACAAAAAGAAACACAGGAAAACUUCUUCAGAAUCUUCUACUUGAUCUUGAAAUUGCUUCGAACCUGCCCUAAUCUAAAGCAGCUGAGGAAAUUUGGGGUGAGAAUUCGACUAUCUCAAUACUGUCCAUAAUAGAGAUAUGCAAAGCAACAUUCACACAGGUUUGAUAAAACAGAAUGCAAAUUUUAUUGAAGAAAAUCCUAAACGAUCAUAACAACCAUCCUUUUCACUAGUCAUUCCAAAUAUCUUUUUCCUUCUUAUAGAUACCGAUCCCGGAUUCCAUAUUCCAUAUUCCAUAUCCGAAUUUCGAUUUCACAUCAUUGAACUUCACAUUCAUACAUAAUUUUCCAAACAUUACAAUAAUCCAAGUCAAAAUCACAUAUUACUGUUCAGAAACACAAACACAAUUACAUAACAGUUGUCAAAAUCAUAAACAAUUUCUAAUAUGCAAAAUUUUUUGUUAUUUAAACAUUCUUCUUUUUACUUUGUUUGGUGUUUUAUUGCGCUAUGCCGUUUUUACUGUUAUUAUCGAGGACAAUAAAGAUUCUCUCUGCAUGUGAAUGUUCAAAUAAUAACAGACCCUCAUUCCUGCAGGGCUAUAGAUACAAUCAAACUCUUAUUCUCUGAAGGGUUAUAGGCACAAUCAAAACCCUAUUCUUUGAAGGGCUAUAGGCACAAUCAAACCCCUAUUCCCCGAAGGGCUAUCGGUGCCAAUAACAAAUUUCCAACCCCAUUUGGGAUGGGACUUUGCAGUCAUGUCUGACUAAGGCCGUAUCCACAAUAAGGUUCACAAUGAACACCAUAUUUACACACAUACCCUUCCUCUCUAAUACUUGCUAAACAGAUUUCUUCGUCUUUUAAGGGUUUUUAUGUAUCCUAUUAUUUUUGCAAUUCAAAUUCAUUACUACACACAUAUAUAAGUAUAUUAAACAUUCAAAGUUGCAUUACAUACAUAUAUUUACACUUUUAUAUACCUACAUAUACAUAUUCAUAUAAGUUAACAUAUAUUUAUACCUUAUGUAAUAUCACAAAACACUCACACACCUCUAUACAUUUAUUCAAAUGCGAUGAAAUGUUUUUAUACAUAUAACACACACCAUUACACCCACAAUGCAACAGACGCAGCAACACACUCAACACACACACAGUACACUCACACAACACAUGCAACACACACAAUACCUACAACACACUCUCAGCAAUUUAUUACAUGCAUUUCAGGUAACAUAGAUCACGCAGCAAGCUCUACACUCAUUCUUGCACAAAUAUAUACACACAUGCAGACGCACAUACACAGUUUUAUAUAUAUACAUAUUCACAGUGUACGUUUAGAUAUACAUAUACAAUCUGUUACACGUAUCUAUUAUUUUGCAGAUGCACAUAUGCAUUCAUAUUAUAUAUAUACUGCAUAUAUAAACCUAUGUCACACAUGCAUAUAAAUUUUUCGUAUAUGUACCCACUGUAUGUAUUUACAGCAUACAUAUAUAUAUUAUUCAUGCACCUAAUCGUACAUACCCAGAUGCAGAUACAUACAGCUCAUAAUAAUCAUAAGUUUACAUAACUAUUUUUUUUUUAAGAUAACAGGUUUACAUACCUAUUUACAUUAUCUAUAUAUAGUUUUGCACACCCAGCUUAUAAAUAAUACAUAUACACCCCUUAUACAGUUAAGCUCAUGCUUUCACACACAUCAACAUCUAUCUAUGUUCUGGCAUACACAGUUUAUAAACCUAUUACCUCUAUAAAUAUAUAUCUAUAUUAACACACAUACAGAAUACAUAAUUAUGUAAAAUACAAAUGCACAUACAUGUACAGAAAAUCAUACACACAACGUUGGAUUAGACCCUCUAUACUCAUCCUCAAAUUUUUCUUGGCCAUUGGAUUAGAUCUGGCAUGGCUUCCUGAGAACCAUCCGAUUGCCUUUCAUUAAGGCAAUCCGGUUUUUUUUUGCUUGAUGAGCUAAUCCCCACCGUUGAAUUCAAAUCUUCUGCUUAUCUAGGUCAUCGGUUUUCCCGACGGUUGGAUCGUUUAAGAUAGAUUAUGACAUCCCAAAUGUUAAUUAAAAUAUAAGGGUGUUAGAUAUAGAGAUAGAUACGAGUGCAUAUAAGAUAAAUGUAUACAAUGGAAUAAAUAAUUACAAUUCCUUACAAAAUAAUAAUAGAGUUUCAUACAACAUUGAGGUAAAAACAAAAUUAAUUACAAAUCUCUAUGAAAGAUGGACUUAUCAGGGUGUAAGACUACUAUGUACUCAUAACGGUUCACGAAUCUACGGGAUCCUCAAAGGCUUCAAGGAGUAGAUUAACGAUCGAUUUUUCACUAUUUUCCUCAUCUUGAGGGGGCAUGAAAAAAGAUAAGUUUCAUAUGUUCAGUAAGGAAAACAAUAUUUAAAUAACAUUACUAAAAUUUUAAAGGUAAUUAAAAACUAAAAUAAAGUACCAUCAUUACUUACCAUCAGGAGUUAUGUCAGGAGUCCCUUUAUAAAUUAUGAAAAUAAUUUACUUUAUUAAAAAAAAUAUCAAAUCCGUCAUAUCAUAGUCAUAUUAUGUCAAUCAGAUCAAUCAUGCUGAAAAAAAAGAAAAUCAAACAAGUCAUGACAUGCUCUAUAUUUCAUUUUAUUUUUCGCGUAUUGUUCUGACUUUCAUCUAUUGAGGGUAAUACGGAUUUUCGACUACUCAUAUGGAAUAACCAAUUCAUUUUAUAUCAACAAUUUGCGGUUUGUUAAACCAACAACACAUUUACAGUUUGCCAAAUUAACAACACAUUUACAGAUUGUCAAAUUAUGACAUAAUCUAUGACUAUGGCCAUGCCAACCACAAUGGUCCUACAUGUAAACUAUGGUCACGACCAUACUUCGCCAAAGGUGACCCCUACAAUCAUAUUGCGUCAUCACUCUCGUUAAAAGGUACACUGUUAUCCAUAAGAAGCGGUCCUCUCAUGUCUUUUCAGACUAGAUGGGGGAGAAAAAAAAAAAACCCAUAGAGAUAAAAAGGCUAAUAAAAAUAUUUCAUGAAUCAUGCAUGCCAAUACUGAUACAUUUUCUCAUGCUUAAAGUACAACAUCAUGUUUGUUACUAUAUCAUCGUUCAAUAUAUCAUGCAUAAACAUUUAUCAUAUGUAAAUUAAGCAUUUAGUUAAUCAUGCAAAUAAUCGAUUUAUAUGCAUUCAUAUAAACAUGCAUUAACAUGUAAUAAUUCUAUUUAAGUAUAUAAAAUUAAACAUGCAACCAUUUAAUUAAAACUUUGUUAAUUUGAUCUAAAAAUACUCUUUAGUAUGUUAAAAGUAAAUACUAAAUUUUUUAUUCGAAAUCUUGGAGUUUUCCUGUGUCUUUCUUCCCUCUAUUUCUUCUUCUUCUCUCUCUAGGUCACUCUUUCUCUCUCUCUCUCUCUCUCUAAAACUCUUUGGUGGAUGGAAGAAUAAAGUGGGAGUGGUGAAGAAAUGGUGAAGAGAAGGUCCUUAUUUGUAUAAAAUGGGAACCGUUAGAUUUGUGCCAAGUGGCAAAAUUUUAUGAAAAGAGAGGAAGUCAAAAUGAUUUGAUGCGACAUGAUGACUGACGGAUGUGACUGGCGGGUGGACAAUGUAAUGAUGGCAACGUAACGGUGAUACGAGAAUCGGAAGCACGCCACCCAAACGAUGGCGGCACUCUGCCCAACCGGCGGCCACGACGUCCAAGAGGGCGGCGCUCGCUGCCCCAGCCUGCUGUGCGCUCGUGCGGUGUGCGGGGCCCACGCGUGCGGGGUCUUUCCCGCGAGAUUUUUCUGCCAUUUUCUCCUCCGUUUUCCCUAAAAACCUUUUUAAGAAGAUUUCAAAAAUAAAUUUUUAACAAUUAACCAAUAAAAAUAAAUUUGAAUAAUUAUUUAAACUAAAUAAAUACGAAAUUCAAAUAUUAAAUUUUAUCCAAAAAUUAAAGCACAGAAUUUUAAGGAGUUUAAAUACCUUUAGAGCUUGAAUAAAUAGGGGUUUACGAUACAAAUUAAGCAAGAAGGUUUUUGGAGUGUUACAUUGAUAGUGGCCGUUGAUCCCUGGAUCACAAGCAGACCGUGUGAUUAACGCACAUCAGCUGUUCGAUCGGCAUCAUGCGCAUCAUCCGUUUGAUCGGCAUCUCACCUGUCAGCCUUAUGAUCACCAUCAUUUUCCCGUGUCUAGGAGCCGUUGGAUCGGCAUCUGCACUUUCACUGAUGGAUCGGCAUCCGAAACACAGACCGCUUGAUCAUCAUACACGCAUGCCUCCAGUGUGUUGACUCUGCACUGAACUCUACUAACGCGGUUGCAACGCGGCACAAUUUGAUUGGUUGUGCUGCUGAAUCAGCAGUCUAUGUGGCAUGUUUCUUCAAAUUUGCAGAGUGACCCCUAGGCGCCUAAAAUCUUUUCAUUUGGACCCCUGCUUAAUUACAGAAAGGCCUGAAAUUCCAAAUUUGUUUUCAAUUUAGUGCAAAAUUAAUAUUUUAAGUUAUUUUCAAGGUUAUUACUAGAUUUUCUUAAUUUCCAAAAAUGUCCCAAGUUCACACAUUUAAUUCCAAAAUGUAUUUUUACUCAAUUUUUCACCUAAAAUUCUCACAAAAUCAAUUAAUUUAAAUCUCCCAGAAAUUACUAAAUUCAUCCCGUAUUCUUUUUUUCCCUUAAUUUCUCCUGAAAAUUCUUUUAAGUUCACAUGUCCUUUUGACUUAACAUUUAUUGAUUUGCAGCUUGGACAGGCCCUGAGCACUAGACCAGAUAUAUUGCCGACUGUAUAUUGUCAGGAGCUUGCAAAGUUACAGGUUUUGUUAGAUUAUUCUGUCAAAAGUUUCCUAACCUUUAUCAGAGUUGUCUUAAACAGUAAUUCCCUUCUUUUUCAUUCUUAUGGUCAAACACUUCUGUUAAUUGUAGGAUCAAAUGCCACCAUUUCCAACUUCUGUUGCAAUAGAUUCUAUUGAAAGCCAGUUGGGUAUUCCAGUCUCACAAAUUUUUGCUGACAUCAGCCCAGAGCCAACUGCAGCAGCGUCUUUAGGCCAAGUGUAUAAAGGUUAGAGAAUCGUCCCCUGUAUAUCUCUUCACCCUUUUAUUUGCUUCCAGUCACCAGGUGGGUAGAGGAUCACCGGAUUGGAAAACUCAAGCUAAAUGUUACUUUUUGUUCCUUCAAGUCCUGCAGCUCAUUUGCAUUCUGGGGAGCUUGUAGCUGUUAAAGUCCAGAGGCCAGGUAUGUCGCUUACGUUGACUCUUGAUGCCAUGUUAUUCCAUAUGAUCAGCGGCCAAUUGAAGCGAUUUGCCAAUGCCCAUAAGGACCUCUUGGUAGCUGUAAAUGAGAUGGUGAGGUUUCUGCCUCAAGGUUCCUGUCAAUGCUAUUACUAAUCUCAAUUACUAUUUUCUAUUUGUUUCUUUUUGAAGAAAAUUAGAAAUUUGGACAUGCUUCAAAAAUAUAAUCUGUCAGUAUAAUCUUGUGGAUGGUUCUCAAAGCGUAUGCAUUUAUUUUUUGGAAUGUGUUACAGAGUAUGGAAAUUAUUGGUGUUAUGCUCAUAGAAACAUUCUUUAUGAGUUUCAUUUUACCAUCAUUGUUAUAUAGUGCAACCAUGUCCUUUACUUUUAUUUUGAUUUAGUUUUUCUCUUCAAUCUAAUCUUCUUUCUGUGAGAUUAUACAUGCUUAUGAACAUCUUUUUAUCUUUCUUGAUGAAAAGGUAAGGCACAUGUUUGAUGAAAUUGAUUACAUCUUAGAGGCAAAAAAUGCUGAGCGAUUUGCUUCUCUGUAUGGUAAGUUAUCCAAAUUUGUAGUUACUGUACUUUUACUUCGUCAGUUCAUUGAUAUAUUUUGUAGUAAACAUCAUAUACCAAUCCCGGGUGAUGCUGGUUAAUCUAAGUCGAGGAGCCUUCUUCUUUAUUAUAAUACUGGAACUUUAAUGUCUAGUCUGGAUAUGCCAAACAUAUGUCCCUACAAAUCAUGUCAAAUGAUGAAUUGCAUAAUACCUACUUAUUAGGGUAGCAUUUAAGGAUCCUUUUUCUUCCCAUGAUUUUCGUUAAAACGGUGAAAUUCUUCAAGUAUGUAUUGGCAUUUAAAAAACCUGUAUUAUCUUUUCUUUCCUCAGUCUCUCUGUAAGGAUCUAUGUGCUUGUGCUUCAAGCAUAAAUCAAUGAAAGUUCCCUUUUGUUGACAGCUACUGAUCAAACAGAUAAUCAACAAGCUGCAGCUGGUCCUAACCUCAAAUAUCAGAGAGCAAACAUCAUUAAGGUGCCAAAAAUAUAUUGGAAUCUUACAUGUGAAACUGUGCUUACAAUGGAGUGGGUUGAUGGAAUCAAACUCACUGAUGAAAUGGGCCUGAAGAAGGCUUCUUUGGACCAAAGGAAAUUGAUUGAUCAGGUAAUAGGCAGACUUCCUCUACACCAGUUGGUUGCAAGUUCCUCAUUGAUUUGGUGAAAUUUGUCUAACCUAUCCUAAGCUCAUAAUUCUCAUUCAUGUUCUUCAUAGGGUUUAUACUGCUCUUUGAGACAGCUGCUGGAGGUGGGAUUUUUCCAUGCAGACCCGCAUCCAGGAAAUCUUGUUGCUACUUGCCGUGGUUGUCUUGCUUAUUUUGACUUUGGAAUGAUGGGAGACAUUCCUCGUCAUUAUCGCGUUGGACUUAUUCAAAUGGUAGGAGUUGUAUGAAUUUAAUCCAACUUCAUCUUUUUUUAGAGUUCGACUCAAGUUGGCUUCUGCAUAUUUUGUGAUAUCAAUUAAUAUCAUGCAAUUUUAUCAAUCUUAGGUGGCAUGCUGUUUAUGCUUUUAUGCUUCUAAAACUGACUUCUUUUUCAUUCUAUUUUGUAUUUAAAAUAUGCCUCACCAACCAUCUGUUGAUAACCUUAUUCUAUAAAGCUUGUCACUGCCCCAGCAAUCAAUUGACCACGGUGCAGUUACCUAUAGACAAUAACAUUCAAAGUCAAAAGAUGACCCAAUCAUAGUAUGGAUUGGGGAAAGGGGGAAGAGAGAGAGAGAAAGGAAAUCAAGAUGAAUUUGUAGUUGCACUAAAACUAGAUGAAACUUGCUAUGCACAUGCGAGUACUCUUGAUGCUUAACAUUUAAUUUACGACCGAAGGUGCCAUUUUUGUCUUGGAUAAAAUGCAUUAUGCAAGUCAAAGAAAACACCAGUUUGCAGGGUGAUCGCUUUUUGUUUUGACUAUUGCUGACCCUUUUUGUUUAGUGAAGAUUGGUUGUGAGAUGGUGUUGAGACUCUUAACACCAGAAGACGGAAUUCUUGUUCUUGCAUGUCUGCGUGUCAAUCCCCUUUACUGAGAGUUUUUUUAAACAAUCCCCUUAUGCCCAUAUAAUAUGUCUAUGUGUGAUUAUAAUGUUCAAGUCAGUAUAUACUUUUUCUAGUUUUCCAUUUGAAAAAUCUUUGGCCGACUCUCAACAUGCUUAGUUAUUACACUUUUUGGCAGACGACAUGGUGCUUACUGUUGCUUUGUUUUGACCUUCCGUUGUGUAUAUGUUAAUAAAUUCUUGUUUCUUUCAGCUAGUGCACUUUGUUAAUCGUGAUUCUCUGGGUUUGGCAAAUGACUUUCUUUCUUUGGGAUUUAUUCCUGAAGGGGCUGAUAUACAAUCAGUUUCAGAUGCACUGCAAGCAUCCUUUGGUGAUAGGAGCAGACAAUCUCAAGAUUUCCAGGUUUGUGCUUGUGAUCUCGUUUCAGUGAAAAUUGUUUGCCAGCCUCAUAGUUAGCAUAGUUCUGUUGGUUUCCUUUUUCUAAAACCAAAAUCCUAGUAGGCAUUUGAGCUUGUCAAAACUGUCUACUUCUGUUAUCUACAAUGCAUAAUAAACUUGGCUCUUUCCAGAUCAAGAUAGAAAGCCUGAGUUUUUUGUUUUACUCAACAAUGGUUGAUCUGUAAUGAAGUUUUGAGCAUGCCAUUGUAGAAUGGGACUGCAAAAACUUUGAUCCCUGCUUUAUGCUUAGGGGUAACUUGGCCUUUUUUUUAGAAAUCUACCAUAUUGAGAUUUUCUCAACAUAAAAACAUUUUGAGAGAGAUUUGUGGCGAAUGUUACUUCUCCAUAGACAUGGCAAAAUUCAGAUUGGUUAGGUUUAUGCAUGAAAUAAGUUGAUAAUUCAAGUGAAAAUUUAUUAGUAGUUAUUCAUUUUGUCAUAUAGUGAUCUACUUUGAACUAUUAAUUCAUUCAACUAUUGAGUCGAACUGGAUUGAAAUCUAUGUAGUUAGGUCUAAUUGCCCUACCAUUUUCAGGUGUGUCUUCUGUUUUAAAAUUUCCUUUGUAUAACAGUUCUUUUUCUUAAAUUAUGGAAGCUUGAGCACAACUAUUUUGAAUUUCAGGGAAUCAUGAACCAAUUAUAUGAUGUUAUGUAUAGAUUUAACUUGUCUCUGCCCCCUGAUUAUGCCCUGGUCAUAAGGGCACUUGGUUCAUUGGAAGGCACAGCCAAAGUUCUAGAUCCUGAUUUCAAGGUAGUUGAAAGUGCAUAUCCAUUUGUUGUUGGAAGGCUCUUAGCAGACCCGAGCCCUGAUAUGAGAAAAAUUUUGAGGGAGCUUCUCAUCCACAAUAAUGGAUCCAUAAGGUGGAGUCGGCUAGAGCGCCUUGUAAGUCUCUCUGGGUGCUGUUUUGUCUUGUACACUAGUUCUUUUUCUUGUUAAAAUUUGUGCUAUCUUUGGAGAACACUUAAAUUUUUUUGAUAAAAAUAUUACUUAUAUUUACUUACUGUUUAUUCGCAAUUUAUCUAUUUUUGUUUUAAACAUGUUAAUUAUAAAUUUAUUGUAUGUAUAAUUUGGAUACCAAUUUUUACUGAAUUUAGACAGUCUUUUGCUAUUAAUAGCUAUAACGUGCUUUAUAGCAUUACUUAUAAUAGUAGGUAUUAUUACAUAACAAUAGCUGUGAUGUUUAUUAUAGCUAUGACCUGUUUUUUAUAGCAUUACUUGCAAUAGUAGGUACUAUUACAUAACAAUUCAUUUUAUCUAAAAAAAUGACAAAAGUGGAUUAAGAUUUCAGUUCCGAUGGUAAGAAACAAGAAAAAUGAGUAUAAUAUGAAUAACAUGUGCGCACAAGAACCUAUUGUGUAAAUAGGUAAUUAAGAAUUUUUUUUUUUGACAUUCUCCUACAGUGAGAUGAAAGGAGUAAGUUUUUAUUUUAAAAAAUUAUAAUAAAUUUAUUUGUCAUUAUCUCCAAUAUCAAGGACUCUUAGGAAAUUUGCUUGGGUAAAAUAGUAUAAUUGUUGGUUAGAUUUAGUGGCGAAGUUAGUGUUUGUUUGACUAAGUAAUUAAACCAGAAGUCCGUUGGAGAAGCUCAGGCAAAUUAAACAAAUGAAGCCCCUUCUUUUGCCCCCGUUGAUAGGUCUUCAACUUGAGUGAAUGCAUGAGUAUCUGAUGCAGUUUUAGUAGGUCUUUUUCAUUUCAUUCAAAGAAGUUUUAAAUGUACAUGGUUAUCUCCAAUUAUAACAGAAAUCAAGUAGUUUGCAAUGUCUCGGUGUGUUACCAUUUUCUUCUUUUUUGUUCUUGAAUUUCAAUAUUGAUUUGUUGGUGCUACGAUUGUUUUUAUCCUAGCCUAGUAUGUUGAGAAAGUUUCUGGAAGCCUCCCUGCCAUAUCUCCUGUGUGAUUUUUGAAUCUUAUGUACUUCUACCCUUUCAAUAGUCAUUCCUGAUGGUUAUCUAAAAAUUUGAACAAAUCUUCAGGUCCUUCUGCAAAUCAUAAUCAGACCGUACUUCUUAUCUUCUGCAGGUAGCAGCAAUAUCUGAGCAGGCUUCUGAAUCAUCUGGAGAGCUACCUGAUGCUGAUUGUUCUUCAAAAGUUGGAGGAUGGAAAUCAUUUGAUGUGCGCACUGUUGUUUCUGCCACAGAGGAUCUUUUAUUAUUCAUUCUUUCUGAAAAGGGUCAGAGAGUACAGGUUUUCCUCCUUCGGGAUAUAAUUAGAGCAACUGAUAUUUUUCUACAGGAUGAAGUCUUUGGUUGCUCUUUAACUGAGGAAGUUGAUGCAAAGGAGACAUUGAACUCACAGGUUUCUCUCAUUCUAUCUUACCAACUAAUAUUCUAUGGUUUAUAUGCAUUAGUUGAAGCCACUAAAAGAAACAUAUACUGGCUAAUUAACUAUCCUAUUAGUUAGUCAAUGUCUGGUUAAUGGUUGUCUAAGUAAGCAAUGAUAGAUUGCAUUGAACGUCUCCUGUGGAAAGGCCAAAACACCUCCUAAACUAGCAUCAAGUUGUCCGAUAUUUAUUUGAUACUAUAGAAUCCUAAUAUUUUCAUUCAUGACUGUAAAAUCUAAUCACAAAUAGGAACAUGACAAGAACAGGAGAAAAACAAAGCCAAAAUGAAAAGAUUCUGAUAAUUACUGGUGCUUAUUGUCCUUUCAUUUUGGCAGGAACGAACAUCAGAAAGGGUAAUCAAAGGGUUCCAGUACCUAUGUCAAGCGAUGAAGUUGGGUCCUGAGAUGUGGACAGCAAUGUUUAUUCGCAUGGCAUUGAAGCCUGAGGUUCAUAGAUUUACUUUAGACAUAAUUUCUGCCUUGCACAUGCAUUUUAGCCACAAGUUUCCCGAGACUUUCUGGAUUUGUAUUUCUAGACAGCUACACAAAUUGACAAAAAGAAAUAGAUCUGAUGUUACAUAAUCCGGGGAAUCCAAAAAUAUUCUUUUGAUUUUUCAUCCAAAAAUGUACUUUUUUAUUGGAGGUAAUCAUUUACUAUAGAAAAGAGGAUAUUUCUUUUAGAAAAUCUAACCUAGAAUCUUGAAUCAGCACCUAGUCGUUAAUACAUAUAUAAUUUAUUGGCUGGUCUAAGAUCAUUGUUUUUAACUUUCUUCACGAUCCCACAAAGAGGAAAUCACCAAAACUGCUGUAUUUUCAUUUUUGGUGCUAUCAAGGAAAAGCAGAAGAAAAAACAUCUUGGGCCGAAACGUAAAUAACUUUCUAUGAUAUUUAAGCUUGUGUGGUUCUUGCACAAAUUCAGUGUUUCAUUAAGAUUAGAAGUUUGAGACUAAUUUAAAUUAAUUCGAUAAUAGAUUGGAGUUGGAAGUUCGUGUAAUAUCUAAGGACUUCAUGGCCAUAGUUUUGGGUUUAAAUUUUUAUUAUUAUUAUUAUUAUUUUUUUUUUUAAAGAAGAAAGUAAUGCUCAACAACAUUGAACUGUUGUUUAUAUAUAGAAAGAUGACAAUAUUAUAUUAAUAUUAAAAUUCAAUAUAUUUAAUCCUUUAUUUUCUUCAAAAUAGAAGUGUUUUUAUUCCAGUCUGCUUUGAGACUGGAUAUUGUUUUUGUCCGGUUUUUAGUUCAAAAAUAAGAAUAUUGAAAAUUCUUGUAAUUUCGAUCCAGUUUUCUAAAACAGAACUAAUAAAAAAAUAGUAUUAAAAAAUUAGAAGUUGAAUUCACAAAUAAAAUUAUCAAAUUUUAAUCCAAAAUGAACAAAAUUAGAUUUUAAUCCAAAUCUCUUCUCUUAAUGGGUCAUUGAUUAAAUACGACUCAUCCUUUUAACCUCAUUCAUCACUUAGUAUUAGUCAUUCAAUGUUUUUAGUUUUUGAAGUUCUAACCAUUAUUAUUAUAUAUUCAAAAUAUUUAACUCACCCUAAAAAAAUUCAACUCUGAGCUCCAUCAAUAAAGUUUUAGGCCACAUAAUGAUGUUAGCAUGAACGGCUUGGAGUAUCUGAGAAACCAAUCAAUCUUAGGUAAGUUACAGCUUAGGCUGUUUUGUUGAAGAUCAAAGUGGUUUGGGCCAUAAACAAUGCCCACGCGGAGGAAAGCAAAGUUUGGACACAUAAUAUGAUGGACUUGAAACACAUGGAAAAAGUAUCAUCAUGAAAAAUGGGCCAAGAAACUUAAGGAAGACUUUCUUAUUCAUAUUAAAGAAUGGAUCCAUGAGAGAAAAAGUAUUAUACCAAACUUUGAAGGCCUUGGAAAUGGGAAGUAGAGUCCACCAAGUCAAGAAAGGAAGCAAUCCUUAAAAGAAGUUAAAAGUUCAUGGGAAAUCUCUCCCUCGGCAUGAGAGACUUUUCCUCACUCAAGAUCAAUUUUUCCCUUAAGAAUGAAAGUUUCAUUUUUCUCUACAUAGCUUUCUCAAAUGGCAAAAAAGAAACCAAGAUCACGGAAUUUUGAAAAUCUAUCAAGAGAUAAUCAAAAUUAUAUCUUGCUAAGUUUUCAAGAUAAAAGGACAUAUUUUCCUAAAAGAGUAUAUUCACAUAUGAGAAAAAAAAUCAAUGAAGAUCAUGAACGGAUUUACUUUCCUAAAGAAUCAAGAGAUUUUUUUUAAAUUAAGAAAUCUUUAAAAAAUCUUCUUUAAAUUAAGAGAUUUUCAAAAAAAAAUUCUCAUAUUUUAAGUUCAUAUCAUAUUUAAUUCAAAAAUCUUUCUAUGGACAGCAACAUCUCAAUAAUAUUGAAAAAAAUUUUCUUUAAUUCAAGAUAUACAACUAUAUCUAUAUUAAUUAGUAUUAUUUUCUUAGUAAUUCUUAUUUUUUUAGAAAAACAAUUGUAAUUAGUUAAAAGAUUUUUUUUCCUUAUAUUUCAUUUAGCCUUCAACUGCAAAUAGGUCUAAAGAAUUGUAUCCAAAAUUCAAAUAUCAAAUCAAUAAAAUACAAAGAUUUUAGCUUGAUAACUUGAGAGAUUUCUUCAACCUUCUUGUUGAGUAGGAAAUUAGUGUUUAUUUAUCAAGGNNNNNNNNNNNNNNNNNNNNNNNNNNNNNNNNNNNNNNNNNNNNNNNNNNNNNNNNNNNNNNNNNNNNNNNNNNNNNNNNNNNNNNNNNNNNNNNNNNNNNNNNNNNNNNNNNNNNNNNNNNNNNNNNNNNNNNNNNNNNNNNNNNNNNNNNNNNNNNNNNNNNNNNNNNNNNNNNNNNNNNNNNNNNNNNNNNNNNNNNNNNNNNNNNNNNNNNNNNNNNNNNNNNNNNNNNNNNNNNNNNNNNNNNNNNNNNNNNNNNNNNNNNNNNNNNNNNNNNNNNNNNNNNNNNNNNNNNNNNNNNNNNNNNNNNNNNNNNNNNNNNNNNNNNNNNNNNNNNNNNNNNNNNNNNNNNNNNNNNNNNNNNNNNNNNNNNNNNNNNNNNNNNNNNNNNNNNNNNNNNNNNNNNNNNNNNNNNNNNNNNNNNNNNNNNNNNNNNNNNNNNNNNNNNNNNNNNNNNNNNNNNNNNNNNNNNNNNNNNNNNNNNNNNNNNNNNNNNNNNNNNNNNNNNNNNNNNNNNNNNNNNNNNNNNNNNNNNNNNNNNNNNNNNNNNNNNNNNNNNNNNNNNNNNNNNNNNNNNNNNNNNNNNNNNNNNNNNNNNNNNNNNNNNNNNNNNNNNNNNNNNNNNNNNNNNNNNNNNNNNNNNNNNNNNNNNNNNNNNNNNNNNNNNNNNNNNNNNCUCAUUAUCAUAUGAAAAAACACUAGAAGAUCGACUAAGGAUAAAAAAAUCAUUAAAGAGAGAAAAAAAAAAGUCACGAGAAAUAAAGAGAAAAAUGUCGCAAAGGAAAAAGAGACUAAUGUCGCAGGAAAGAAUGAGAAAAAUCCCACGAGAGAAGAGGAAAGUGAUGUCGUGGGAGAAGAGGAAAAUAAUAUCGUGGAAGAAAAAAAAAAUUGAUGUCGUGGGAAAAAAGAAAGUGAUGCGGAACCCAAGAUUAAUGUUGUAAUCCAAAACUCACACAAUGCUUAUUAAGGCACCAAAGACUUAAAUCCUAUGAAAAUCUUCUCUACUUAACCUGUUAUCAAUAAAGUUAUAGGAACUAAGAUCAUUGAAAAGUAAAAGAAUAGAAAUAGGAAAAAAUGUUGCAAAGGAUACCUCGAUAAGUUGAUCUAACUCUUUACUCAAUAAGAAAGUUGAAGACAACUCACUAGUUGAAAUAAAUUUUAAAAUUUUUUUGAUUGAAACUUGAAUAGUUAUAAUUAAAAAUUGAAAGCUUAUUUAUAAAGUAAGGUCAUAGGCAAUACAAGGAAAUAAAUCUCUUAAAUUAAUUGUAGAAAUUAAAUCUUGCAUUACUUGAAAAAUUAAUAAAAAUUAAGAAGAGUUUGACUAAUUAUGUUAGAUAAGAUCUUCCUUUUUUAAAAAUUUUUUAAUAAGGAAGAUUUUAAUUGAUUGUAAAAAAACUAAGGAGAAAUAAAUGGAAGUUUAGGGCUAGCCAUAUUAUGGUCACCCAAAUUUUUCAUUUUUAGCUGGGAUUUGGUUCUUUAAAAGUCUUCCAUUUUCUUGUUUGAUUCACUAUUCCACUUAUAUUGAUAUAUAAGUAUCAUUAUGUCCUUGAAUUAUUGUGAUUGUUUUCUUCUUCCUUUGGAUUGGGUAUUCUCUUUAUUGUCUAUGUUCAUCAUCACAUCAGAAAGUUGAUGAUGAUCCCUUUGUGGGAGAAAAAAAAGGGAAUGUCUAUAGGAUCCCAACCCAACUUUGUCUAGGGGUGUAUUAUCUUUCUUGCAAGAUUUCAAGAAGGUAGAGAUGAUUAAACUGCUACAUAAGAAGUUUUCGAUUCAAAGAUGAAUCGUUUUCCAAUAAGGACCGAAUGAUAUAAACAUGGAUAACUUGGAAUAUUCAAGAAACUAAUCAAGUUUAAAAAGUCACAACUUAGGUUGUUUAUUAAAGGCAAAAGUAGUUUGGAUAAUGAACAACACCAAUACGGAGGAAAGCAAAGAUUUGAUGUAACGACCCAGGAAAUCCAAAAGAAAAUAUAUAUAAUAAUUUAAGUGUGGAAGCGAAAUAAAAGGUUAAUGUUAAUAUCCCUUACACAAAAACUUAAAAGUACUAAACAUUACAAAAUGAAUUCUUUGAAGGAAACACGAGAAAUGAGAAAAGUAAAGGAAAAUAUAAAGUAUAUAGCAUCUACUCGCAAUCUUCUUGCGGAUCGGGCUCUGGAACCAGGUCCUCUUGAUCUGAAAUAGUUAAAUAAAGGAUGAGCUACACUAACCCAGUAAAGACAUCACACUAUAUCACCGGUACAGAAGUAAAGAUUGGUAGAAAAUCAAAACAACUAAUGGAGCACUAAAUUUAGCAAAUUCUUUUAUCAAUCAUAAAAUCAUUUACCCUUUACUUACCAUUGUGGAAUUUAUGAAAACAAACUAUAUAAGCAAUAAUAUCACACAGAUCAUAACUUCAUGCACGAUCAGUAACAUGGAACAUAUCAUAAAUUCACAUUCAUUAAUAAUAAACUAAAUCAUAACCGUUUCUCGUUUUACUAGCCUACUAGUAUCCAUGGGGAUCCAUAGGGGUGUCUCUACUAUACGUGAACUCUUUCCCUUAACAAUCUUAAUUACAGAGUCGUCCCCAUACCUCGUCCGAUAUAAGCACUAAAACAUUAAACCUCAAUACCCCAUCUGGUAUGAAGGUGAAGCGAGCUAUUCCCAUACCCCGUCCAGUAUGAGCGCCAAAUGACCAAGUCUCCAUACCCCGUCCGGUAUGGGACAACGUUCACGGUAGGGUUUCUUAUAAACCCGAUCCGUCCACCAUCUCCCAGGAUAUCUAGUGGGGCUAUCGUUUUAUCUGUUUAUUUGAUCAUAUCCCUUUCCUGUUUUUCCUUAAGUCCCCGUUACCAAAUCAAACAUAAUCACAUAAACAAUGAACAUGCACCCGGUAAUGCAAUCAUAUCUUAAAUCCCAAAAUCACACAGUGAUCAAGUAAGACAGUGAUACAUGCAUUUAAAACCAUAAAAUAGAUAAACCAGAUAUCAUCAUGCUUUUAAACUAUAAAAUAAAUCAACAGAGAAUAAUGUCUGAUUCGAGCUCCAUUAGUAAUCCGUAAUUAAUUAUGUACAUCUAUUCAAUUUGUACAAAAUACCGUAUUAUCAUCUAUUCAAACUUCAAAUCCAUGAUAGGAAAUAGGGUGAGAGGUUCUUAAUUGAUUUGAUACCGAAAAGCUAAAUGGUUUACUGUGCUCACGGGCGGUCCCUAAGUUCCCUAAAUUUUUCUUCGAGAACUGAAACGCACUUACGGUACCUAUAAAUGCCUCAAAUAAACCCAAAAAUCAGUUCCAGGGCCUACUCAGCCAAUUUCAAAAAUUCAGUACGAUGGCUCCACCGUGCUCCAGCGACUGCAUCGCCACCUGCAGCGGCAGUUCACCUCGUGUCGACCGUUUUCGGCCGAAUUCGGUCAAUUUUACAUCGAUUCCUGCGAGCACACAUGCUAAAGGGCCUUGGUGGGCCGAAAAAAUACGAAAAACUAAAACUCACCGGCAGCAGGGCUCUGCGGUGUGGUGACUCCUUUGGUUCACGUUGCGGUUGGGUGUUUCGUUUCGGUCAACCUGUAGAGAGAAAAACAAUAAUCGCAAUGGUAGAAAAAUUACACAAAACGAAAAUCAGAAAGGACCUCAUCGGGGACGGUUUGUGAAAUUGUCCGCGACGGUGCCGCUGGACUUCAACGGUGUUUUCCGGCUAAUUGGCCAGUUCUUUCACUCUGAUUUGGCAAUGGGUGAGUUUAAAAUUGAAUUUCGUACAAAAGGAGAAAUUUUUACCUUUUUUGGCGGUCGAAAAAUGUUCCGGUGCGGCGGGGGGGUGGCGACGUUCGGCUCCCCGGCAGCUGGGUCGUCUUCUCUAGUGAGGGGUUCUAGCGGCUAGGGUUUGGGUUUGGGUGCGAAUGGAGUUAUUUAUACCGAUCUGCUUUUGAUCUGGAUCGUCCGAUCGCGAUUAAAUAGAAAAUGAAUCUAUGCUGUCCAUGCGUGCGGGAACGGAUCUCAGCCGUUCGAUCGCACGCACGCGGAUCGCGCACGUGGCUCCCCCCUGCUUGGCCUCCCGCGUCAGCGCCUCUGCUACUUGACGGGUACUGGUUGGUCGGGGCUGCUAACCGGGCGUCUGACGUAAAGUAAUUUUUCUAAAUUACAUUUUGACCCCCCAGUUUUUUAUUUUUCUUUCAAAAAUACUCCCAAAACCCAAAUUUCACCCUUUUUUUUCAAAAUUAUUUUCAAUUUAAUCUUUAAUAAAUUUUUACCCAUUUUUUCAUUAAAUUAAAAUAAAUUAAAUAAAUAAUAAUUAUAUUAAAAAAAUAAAAAUAAAAAUAAAUGUUGGGUGUUACAUUGGACACAUCAUAUGAUGGACAUGGAAGACAUGAAAAAAGUAUUAUAAUGAAAAGUGGGCCAAACAUAAGAACAUGGGCCAAGAAAACUAACAAAGACUUUCUUAUUCAUAUUAAAGGAUUGAUCCAUAAGAGAAGAAGUAUUGGCCUAAACUUUGAGGGCUUUGGAAAGGGGAGGUCAAGUCCACUAAGUCAAGAAAAGAAAUAACCCUAAAGAAAUUAAGUCUAUGGGAGAACCAUGAAAGACUUUUUCCCACUCAAGAUAAAUUUUUCUCUCAAGAUGGAAAGUUUUUGUUAUGUCCAAGUACCCGGUAACAAAUUAGAGUCUGAUAACAAAAUUGUAACGGCCCGUGAACUUGAAAGAAAAUAAAUUAUGAAUUGAAUGCGGAAGCGAAAUAAAUAGUUAGGGUUUAUACUCCUUACACAAUAAUUCAAAUUACCCAAUAGGGAUAUGAAAAUGACCUUUUUAAGUGAAAUAACGAAAAUUAAAGAAAUAAAUAAAAAAUAAACAACUGGAAAUCCUUCUUGCAACCCCCUUGUGGAUCAGGCUGUGGAUCUUGGUCAUCUUGAUCUAAAAUGGUUAAUGAAAGAGUGAGCUAUACUAGUCCAAUAAGAAUAUCACGCUACUCACCGAUACAGAUAUAAAGGUUGGUAAAAAUCAUGAAAACAACAAAUGUAACUCUUAAUUUAAGUAAAUUCGUUUAUCAUAAAUAAAAUCAUUUACCGCAUACUUACCGUAGCGAGAUUUCCAAAAUCAACCAAUAGAUUCAAUAACAUAAACAAUAUCAUAAACUCAUAUACAAUUAGUUGGCAAUAACAACUUUCUGUUUUAUCAGCCAAUUGGUAUCCAUGGGGAUCCACAAGAAUGUCCCCACUACGCGUGAACUCUUUCUUUUUUCUAAUUAAAGGGUCGUCUUCAUACCUUAUUCGGUAUGAGUGUUAAAAUACAAUCCCUUAAUACCCCGUCCGGUAUGAGCACCAAAGUAUAAAUCCUCGAUACCCUGUCCGGUAUGAGACAACAUUCACGGUAGGGUUCUCUAUGUACCCGAUCCAUCCACCAUCUCCUAGGAUAUCCAGUAAGGCUACUGUUCAUCUAUUUACUUAGUCAAAUAAUUUUCUGUUUAUUUUUAAUUUUUAGUUUUCCAGUUUAGUCGUAAUUAUAUAAAACAAGUAAUACAUGCAUCAAGGAAACACAAUCGCAUCAUCACACUAAUUCCAGUGUAUUAUCAUGCAUUCGAAAAUUGUAAAAUCAAUCAAUCAACUAAACACGACAAACAGCAAUAAAUAAUCAGUUCUGCCUCUAUUAGUGACCUGUAAUUAAUUAUGAAUAUUUUCUAAACUACAUAAAAUAUCGUAUUAUUAUUAAUUAAACUUCAAUUCUAUAACAGGGAAUAAGACGAUGAAUUCUUACUUGAAUUGGUAUCCGAACUUUAAACUUUUGGCUGCGCCUAUUGGCGAUCCUCAAGUUCCCUGAAUUUUUCUUUGGUGAUUAAAACACGAUUCAAGUACCUAAAAAUACUCUAAAAAUCCCAAAAUUAGUGUUAGAAACCUUUUUUUGCCAAUUCUGAAAUUUCAGCACGGCGGCUCCGCAGUGCUCCAGCGACGGCACCGCCGCCCGCAGCAACAUUUUGCCUCGUGUUGGCCGUUUUCAGCUGGUUUUGUACCAAUCCUUGUGAUAAAACAAGUUAAGGGGUCUCGAUUGGCCGAAAAAAGUUAAAAAACUGAAGUUACCGGCGGCGCAAUUUUUCAGUGCAGCGGCUCUGCUUACUCACCUUCACGAUUGGGUAUUUUUCUUCUGUCAACUUGUAGAGAAAUGAAUGGUGAUUACAAUGGUAGAAAAAUUACACGAAACGAAAAUCAAGAAAGGCCUCAUCGGAGGUGAUAGCAGCGCCACCGAGUUUUGCCCGCGAUUUUCAGCUCAUCCGCCCUUCUUUUUGCUCCGAUUUGGGCAUAGGGGUGUUCAAAAUUGAAUUUUGAGCGAAUGAAAUUUGUUUACCUCUUUUGGCAGUUGGAAAUGGCUCCAGCAUGGCGGCUGGCAGCGGUCGACUCCCUUUUUGGCGACUGGCUCUUCUUCUCCGACGGGGGGUUUGGCGGUUAGGGUUAGGGUUUGGUGUGAAAAUGGUUAUUUAUAUUCGUCUUCUUUUAAUUUGAACCGUCCAUCGCGUUUGAUCUGGACUGUCUGAUCGCGUUUAAAUAGGAAGUAGAUCUGGAUCAUUCAUCGCAAUUUGAUAUGGGCUGUCCGAUCGCAUUUUAAAGGAGAACGGAUACUAACCGUCCGUGCGUGUAGGAAUAAAUUCGGACCAUCCGAUCUCAGGCACGCAGAUCGCUAAUAUGGCAUCCUGCAUGGGACCGUGUUAGCGUGCCUUGCAAUGCAGCGCGCUCCGGUUCGUCGAGACUGCUGACUGGGCAUCCUAUGUGGCAUAAUUUUUUAAAAUUAUUUUUUGACCCCCAAUUUCUGAUUUUUCUUUCAAGAACCCAAAUUUUCACCUAUUUUUUUCAAAAUUAUUUUUAAUUUCAUCAUCCACCUAUUUUUAUUCAUUUUUACAUUAAAUAAAAAAUUAAAAAAUUAUAUUUAUAUAAUUAAUUUUAAUUACAUUAAAAUAAAUUAAGGGUAUUACAUGAAUAAAUACGAGUGCAAGAAAAAUUAUAUACACAAGCAAAAGUAAAUCAUUCCUUACAUAUACCAAAUAUAUAUCACUGAUGUUAAUGAAUUAGCUACACACUAUACAAAAUAUGGUUCAACUAAAUUCUACAAAAUAUAAAAAGGAGUCCAUU
rnacentral:lncRNA from 1 species